rnacentral:lncRNA from 1 species
AUAGUUUGCUUUCCAGUGUAGUUAUUUUUCCGCCUAGAUCUAUCUGAGUAUUUGCUCCGUCGAGUUUCAGGGGAGCCAUGUUGCGGUAGGGUUGCACCUGAGCCAUCGUGCGGCCGCCGGAGACUUGUCAAAGCUUUAGGUUUAGGAUAGGUUUUUGUGGAGGUGGUGGUGACAGAUGUGAUGGCGGUGGCUCCAUUUAUAGACUCGGAAACGAUGCUUAUGAUGAUGAUGGAAAAUGCCCUUCAACCUUCUUGGAGCUAGAGGAAUAGGAAUCUAGGGUUUCUGGCAGAGGAAGACAUCUCUGAAAAUUGACGUUGAUAUUAUCCAUUUUGUUUGUAGGCGUAGGAGAUAAGGAAAAAAAAAUUAAAUUAAAAUUUCUAAAUAGUUCGGAAAAAAAAAAUGUUAACUAACCGAUUUAACUUUAAUUUUUAAAACCUGAUAGUAGAAAAUAGAAUAAUAAUAACUUAUUAUAAAUGUUUCCUUCUCAAAAAUAUUUCUUUUUAAGACAAAAAUUUGAAAUGGAAAGUUUUUAUUUUACCUACCAAUUAACAUCAAAUAAUCACCAAAAUUGGAAUCACUAAUAACAUUAGAAUUAUAGCAAAACCAUUAAAUAUUUCUUUUAAUUUUAUUUUAAAAUAAAAUUAAAAUAUUAAAUACAUUUAGUAAUUGAAUAAAUAUUUAUUUUCUACUUUAAAAUGGAAAAUAUAAAAUAAUAUUUUGUACCUAAUUAUUAUCCUUUUGGAAGAAAUGAGGGAAUACAUUGUUAACAUUUGGACUAACAAUGGUGGGACUCCAAGAUAUUCUAUCAUAUGAAGGAAUAAAUAGAAAAAUUAUCGAUUUAGAAUCUUACAUCUUUGUCUUUCUUUUUCAUGAUUGACAUUAUUGAACGAUAUAAUAAAUAGAAAAAUUAUCGGUUUAGAAUCUUAUAUCUUAGCCUUUUCUUUUUAGGAUUGACAUUAUUGAACGAUAGAAUCAUUUGAUCAUGAUAGAUGUUGAAUAGUGGAAUCAAUUAUCCAUUUUUAUUCUCUUUAUGUGGGAGACAUGGUCAAUUAUCAAUUUUUGUUUUUAUACUUAUGUAAAGGUUAUUUUUUAUUUUAAAAGGUAUUAAAAGAAAGGAAUGAGUUUGAAGUAGCAUAUAAAAAUAAUUUAUUAAUUUUAAUUUUUUUUAUUAUUAUUAUUUUUCUUUUCAUUUUUCCUCAAAUUGUUUGAAAACUAAAUAUAGCUUUAAGAAUUAUUAGUUCCUAAUCCCAUUAAAUUUUUAUAUUUUUUAUUAAUUAAUUUAGAAUAAUAGAGUUUUUUUUCCAAUUAAUGUAAAACACUUGAAUCAAUUCUUCUUAACUUGCUAUAAUGUGGAGAAGGUCAAAUUAUGGAGUAAAUACCCUUCGAAGAGGCAUUGAUACCACCCUUCAUAUAAUAGAAUUCCCUUGUCCCCUUACCCUGAUCAUUUUGUACUUUGGAGCAUUCCUGGGGCAUUUUUAUUUUUUAAUGCAUUUGAUUUUAUUUAUCAAAAAAAAAAAAAUGGAGUUCCUUUGUCAUCUUAAAUUGUUCCACCCUCAUGAUCUAAUUCGUAUGCUUUUCGAAACAGUAAGAACUCCCUAAUGCAAUUUUUUUUUAUAUGCAUCAUAAUUCGUUUUUAAGUAACUCUAAACCUCCAAAUUUGAUAUGUAAUCCUUUUUUAUUUAGAGCGCAUUUGGUAGUUUUUUUUCUUCAAAAAUAAUUUUUAAAAGUGUUUUUAGGAGAAUCAUUUAUCACUUUUUAUCUUAAAAGUGUGAUUUUUGAAUUUUUAAAAAAUGUUUUUAAAAUUUUAUUAAAUAUUUUAAUUAUUUUUCUUCAUAAAUAGUUUUGAGGUUAAAAAUACUGUGAAAUAGACUCUUAUUGGAAUUUAUUUUUGUUCAAUCAUGUACUAUCAAAAUUUUCUAUUAAUUUUAUCUAUAUAUUUUUGUUAGUUUAUAGUCCUUCAUCAUAUAUAUAUAUAUAUAUAUAUGAAGAGAACUUGAUAAAUUUGUCUUAAUUAACAUCAUUUUCUUACUUUGGAUAAUAUAUUACAACAAUGACCCUCAGUUGGUUUGAUUGGUUGCACCAAGUGGCUCAAGUGGUGGCUUGAUGUCAGCCCCUUAGAGCCUUGACUUAACCAUGGAGGAAUAGGCCUCAUGGGUAGGCCUUGCACCCAUGAGAGCCUAGGAUGAAAGCAGGGAAAUCCUGGAGGUUUGGUGGUUCAAACUCCAGGAGCCAUGUGAGAAGGUCGCGGGCGAGCCAGACACAUGCCUCGCGCGCACCAUGGGCAAGUCAGAUGUGCACCGCGGGCGAGCCAGACGCGCACCGCAGGCGAUCCAGACGCGCAUCGCAGGCGAGCCAGACGCGCACCGCACGCGCACCACGGGUGAGCCAAACAGGCACCGUGGGCAAGCCAGACACACACCGUGGGCGAGCCAGACAUGCACCGCAUGCGCACCAGAUGGGGAUCGCGUGCACACCUGACUUAGGUGGUGUAAAUGAAGGCUGAGGGACUUGGAAUUUUAAUUUAUAAUUAAAAUUAUUAUUCCAUUAUGUCUCCUCAGAUAUAUUGAUGUCUCCUCAAGAAACAAUGAAAACGGCAUGUAUUGCUCUUUAAGGGGGAGUAGGUGACUCAAAGAAGGGAGCCACCAAGAGAAGCCUUGACCGCACCAAGGGGGCACCAUGGCACGGCCUUGGGCAUGCCUAAGACACACGACACGACUCGAGCACACACACAUGGGCUCCACGACAUGUGUGGUGUGCACCUCGUGGCCGCAACGACACGGGGCAUGAUGUGGCCUACCCCCUCCUCGCACAGGCACGAGGGCGCUUAAGCCUUGUGCGGUGAGCCAGCUGAUGAAACCAUGGGUGCAAUGCCAUGGUCUGAUGGCUCCAAUAGAUGACUCGCACCAAGUUGCCUACGCACAAUACAGGGGCGCCAUGUCCUGUGCACCAAGAAGGAUUGGCCAUAGGUGCAAUGCCAUGGCUCGUUGUUGGGAAGCUGGGAAGCAAGCAACAAGCCCAAGCCAUGGGCACCUAGACAUGGCACGGGCUCACACAUCAGUGUGGGGAAGGCACACUGAUGCACCAGAUGCUUGGUCAGAUGGCUGAGGCAUGCUGCCUGACUCAGAGGGUCUUGAUCAAAGACAUGCUGAUGGGCACCCGAUCACAAGAGGCACCUUACGGGGGAGGGGUCGGCUUGUUAGGGGGACUCACUAGCAGCUUAACGAGCAGGACCUGAGGAGAUGACAGUGCAACUAGCUAGUGGCAGCUAGCUCAGUGACCAAGUCAAGUCGUCAUUUGACCUGCAGUUGGCUGAGGAAUGAUGGCUGGUGCAAGUGGGUGGCAGGAGCAGACCACUAUCUGGGUGGUGGGUGGUUUUGCAAGGCAGUUGAGGGCGGUUCAGGCCAGUUGCAUAAACCACCUAGUUGGCUCCAAGAUUUGAAUUAGGAAAUUCAAAUUUGUAAUUACAACUUGAGUCUUUUAAAAGGGCUCCUGCAGCCUUGAAACAGAGACAGAGUUUGGGGAAAAGGUUCCUUCUCGUAUGCCUUGGGUGAGAGCAUUGUACUCUAGUUCAGGAAGCAAUUUUGUCUUGUAAGAGUGAUUAAUACAAGUUGGGAAAGGAUUCCCGUAACCUCGUGUGUCCAUGUUGCUUUGUUAUUUCUGUGUUCUACUCUGUUCUUCUAAACGCUGGGAAGGGAAGGUUGACUAAGGAAGGGUCCUUAGCACCGCACACUCGUGAAAAAUUAAGUGUGAUAAUCAGGGGUGUGACACUUGACCAAUUGAAGCUUUACCUCAACUGAUUACCAUUCUUUGGAGCACCUCUCAAGGCCAUCUCAAUUGGUCGCACCUAUUAGUUGAUGCAUCCCCUCAAUUCUGAAAAAAUAUGUAGUAUUGGUUUUUCCGACUUGGGAUGAAGGAAAAACAACCGACUAUAUACCUCCAACAAAAUUUGAAAAACUUUUAAGAUGAUCUUGAAGAAUUUAAGAUUAGGUUUUUCAUUCAAAAAAAAUUUCAUCCCAAUUUAUAAAAAUUGUAGUGGAUGAGAAUGACAAUGAAUCGCAAUAUACUACAUGAAAAAGGGGGAUCAAAAUCUUAACAAGAGAGUAAAAUUUAGUUUUUCUUACUAAUAAACUUUUGUUUAUAUUUUCUUUCUAAAACACGAUCUCAUACUCUAGUAUUAAAAAAUGGAAUGAAUUUUUCAUUCCCCCUUCUCUUCCAUAUUCCAAACAUGUCGUUGGUUAAAUGAAAAGGAUAUUUUAUUUUAUGAUUCUUAUCAUAAUAGACUCAUAAAGGAAAAAUAGCAUGUUGUAUUGAUUUAAAUAUUUUUAAAUUUUUUAUUAAGAUAAGUAACCUUUGUUUUUUAACAACCUGUUAAUUUUAAAUUUUGUAGAUUUUGCACGUGAUUAAUCUCUUUCAAAGCUUUAAAUUCACUUUUAUAGGGGGGAUAUUGAAGUUAGACUAUUCUAAUAACUUUAUAAAUUUUUUAUGAUUUUUGACUUAUUAGUUUAAUAAUUCAAUAUAAAUAAUUAAUAUUUUAAGACUCCCUAACUGUAUAUAGUUUUAUAAUGUACAGAAUGAAUUAACUUUUUGAUCAAUGUAUAGGAUUUGAAGACUCAAUAAUUAUUUCUGAUUUGAUAGCACCCUUAAUGGAUUGAUUUUUUGGUAGGUGCAUAGAAACAUAGUCUAUGGAACAAAAUUAAAACUUAGAGAUUGAUACAGAUUUAUUUAUUUAUUUAUUUAUUUAUUUAAAAAGCUGAUAUUACAGCAUCCAGGCCUCGUCAAUCUCCUUAUACCAUAGGUGGAGUUAUUUUUAACAUAAAUUAAGGAGUAGUUUAUUUAUUUAUGGUAAACGAGGCCUAAGAUGGGUGCCGGCUCUCACACGUUAAGCGCGCGGCUCUAUUUCCGGGCUCAGAGGAAUGAAGUACAAGAGCACCAGAGGAAGCUUCAUCUGGGUCAAAUCCGAAGGAAGAUUCAUCUUCUUCCAAUCCAGAGGACAAUCGUACUUCUCCCAAACCCAUGCCUCGUAGGUGCCCGGGACGCCGUUGUCUGUGGCUACAAGAUGGAUUUUGUGAAGGAUGCCGAGUUUUCCGAGGAGGCGCUGAUACCAUCCUUCAUACGUGUUAACGAACUCCAGGCUGGAGCGCGUUCUCACGUUGUGCUCCAUCACGGAGUACGCUCCCAAGAUUUGCAGUUGAAUUACGUUGUGGUUCGGAAUCCAUUUUUGGCUUUGCACUGUGGUUAUGUUUCCGCCUAGAUCUAUCUGAGUAUUUGCUCCGUCGAGUUUCAGGGGAGCCAUGUUGCGGCAGGGUUGCACCUGAGCCAUCGUGCGACCGCCGGAGACUUGUCAAAGCUUUAGGUUUAGGAUAGGUUUUUGUGGAGGUGGUGGUGGCAGAUGUGGUGGCGGUGGCCCCAUUUAUAGACUCGGAAAUGAUGCCCAUGCUGAUGAUGGGAAAUGCCCUUCAACCUUCUUGGAGCUAGAGGAAUAGGAAUCUAGGGUUUCUGGCAGAGGAAGACAUCUCUGAAAAUUGACGUUGAUAUUAUCCAUUUUGCAUUUGUAGGCAUAGGAGAUAAGGAAUAAAUAAAUAAAUUAAAAUUUCUAAAUAGUUCGGAAAAAAAAAAUGUUAACUAACACGAUUUUACUUUAAUUUUUUAACCUUGAUAGUAGAAAAUAGAAUAAUAAUAACUUAUUAUACAUGUUUCCUUCUCAAAAAUAUUUCUUUUUAAGACAAAAUUUUGAAAUGGAAAGUUUUUAUUUUACCAGCCAAUUAACAUCAAAUAAUCACCAAAAUUGGAAUCACUAAUAACAUUAAGAGUAUAGCAAAACCAUUAAAUAUUUCUUUUAAUUUUGUUUUAAAAUAAAAUUAAAAUAUUGAGUACAUUUAGUAAUUGAAUAAAUAUUUAUUUCCUACUUUAAAAUGAAAAAUAUAAAACAAUAUGUGUACCUAAUUAUUAUCCUUUUGGAAGAAAUGAGGGAAUACAUUGUUAAUAUUUGGACUAGGAUCUGUGGGGCUCCAAGAUAUUCUAUCACAUGAAGGAAUAAAUAGAAAAAUUAUCGGUUUAGAAUUUUACAUCUUUGCCUUUCUUUUUCAAGAUUGACAUUAUUGAAUGGCAAAAUCAUUUGUUGGUGAUGGAUGUUGAAUAGUGGAAUCAAUUAUCCAUCUUUAUUCUCUUUAUGUAGGAGACAUGAUCAAUUAUCAAUUUUUUGGUUUUAUACUUAUGUAAAGGUUAUCUUUGAUUUUAAAAGGUAUUAAAAGAAACGAAUGAGUUUAAAGUACCAUAUAAAAAUCAUUUAUUAAUUUUAUUUUUUUUUAUUUUUUUUUUCUUUUCAUUUUUCCUCAAAUUGUUUGAAAACUAAAUAUAGCUUUAAGAAUUAUUAGUUCCCAAUCCCAUUAAAUUUUUAUAUUUUUAUUAAUUAAUUUAGAAUAAUAGAGUUUUUUUUCCAAUUAAUGUAAAACACUUGAAUCAAUUCUUCUUAACUUGCUAUAAUGUGGAGAAGGUUAAAUUAUGGGGUAAAUACCCUUCGAUGAGGCAGUGAUACCACCCUUCAUAUAGUAGAAUUCCCUUGCCCCCAUUACCUUGAUAAUUUACCCUUUAAAGAGGCGUUAAUACUACCCUUCAUAUAAUAGAAUUCCCUUGUCCCCAAUACCCCUCAAUUAUUUUGUACUCCGGGUGUCUUUAUGCCAUUUUUAUUUUUUAAUGCAUUUGGUUUUAUUUAUCAAAUAUAUAUAGAUAGAGAGAGAGAGUUCUAAUCUCAUUAAAUUUUCAUAUUUUUUAUUAAUUAAUAUAGAAGAAUAGAGUUUUUUGUCUUAUUAAUAUAAAACACCCAAAUCAAUUCUUCUCACUUUGCUAUGAUAGGGAGAAGAUUAAAUUAUGGUAUAAAUAGCAUUUGAAGAGGCAUUGAUACCACCUUUCAUUUAAUAGAAUUCCCUUGUCCCUAUUACCCCUCAAUUAUUUUGUACUCAGUGUGUCUUUAUGAUAUUUUUAUUUUUUAAUGCAUUUGGUUUUAUUUAUCAAAUAUAUAUAGAGAGAGAGCUUUAUAUGCAUCAUAAUUCAUUUUUGGGAGAAUCAUUUAUCUAGAAAGUAUUAAGUGAUUUUUGAAUUUUUUUUUUUAAAUGUUUUCUAAAUUUUAUCAAAUAUUUUAUUUUUCUUCAUAAAUAGUUUUUAGGUUAAAAUUUUUUUUUUUAAAAUAUUGUCAAAUACACUCAUAUUGAAAUCUAUCUUUGUUCUUCAAGUAUGAUGAGAAUUUUCUAUUAAUUUUUUCUAUAUGUUUUUGCUAGUUUACAAUCCUUCAUCAUAUAUAUGAAAAGAACUUGAUAAAUUCACCUUAAUUAACAUCAUUUUUCCUGCUUUUGGUAAUAACGGCCCUUUUCAAGUAGCUAAGGUUGUGUUUGGUUUGAAAAAUAUUUUUUAUUGAUUACCAACAUUUUUUUAUUUUUACAAAAUAAAAUUAAAACUAUUAGCUAUAUUCAAUAAUGAGGAAAAAUGUAUUUAUUAUUUUUCAAUAAGGGACUUUUUUUUCCUCAAAAUUUCAUGGGGCUUAAUUUGCUCCCCACCGAACAAUGAUAUUGUUAUUUGGAUGAGAUUCACACGUGUUUAAGUUGGUUUGCAAUUCAAGGAUAUUAAAGUUUAGGAGGUGUUUAAAAAAAUUAAAAUUUAAAUAUUGAAAAAAAAAAAAUCAGUGAUGAAUGAUAAGUGAGUGUUGAACUAAUAGAAGUGAAAGUAUUUGAUAAUAUUUAAGGUUGAAAUAAUAAGGUUACAUUUGGUUAAAAAAAAUUGAUAAAAAAAAAAAAAAUAUAUAUAUAUAUAUAUAUAUAUAUAUAUCUCAUAUCUUAAUAUGAGAUUAGCAUAUCUAUGUAAAAAUGAUAAAUAAAAGCAGAUAGAUAAUAUAUUUCAUGUUUGGUUAAACAUAGGAUAGUAUAAGUGAUGAGAUAAUUUAUUUUAUCCCAUCACUUAUCAAACAUAGGAUAAGAUAUAAUAUCCUCUCUUUUAUCUUAUCUCAUAUUAUUUUCAAACAACUAAAUAUGACCUAAAUGAUUCAUUUUUGUGAGAUUUAAAUUUAACUUUAUAUUUAUCACAUGAAUUUUUAUUUUUUUUUAUGAAAUGAGACUACAAAGUAUAAUUAAUAUAAAUUUGAUUUAAAGAUGAGUUACAAUAAUCUUCAAAACUAAACUUUAUAGCAUCUUUAGGAAAAUUUGACCAUAUUCUAUUCGCUUACCUAUUUGAAAAUUGGAUUUGUUGAAUUUCUUUGAUUAAUGAAAGAUUCAAAUUAAGUUUUGAUGGUUUAAGGAUAAAGAAUAAAAGUAAUUCACAAUGGGUUAUUAGAGAAUCUAAUGGUACUAUAGAAAUAGUUACAAGUAGACAUAUAGGUAAUGUUUCAAUAAUUAUUGCAAAAUAUAUGACUUUAAGAAAUGAUAUGUUAGCUAACAAGAAUAUUGGGUUCUUAAACUUAGAGAUCGAGGGUGACUAAGAAAUAGUCAUAGAUNNNNNNNNNNNNNNNNNNNNNNNNNNNNNNNNNNNNNNNNNNNNNNNNNNNNNNNNNNNNNNNNNNNNNNNNNNNNNNNNNNNNNNNNNNNNNNNNNNNNGACUUUAAGAAAUGAUAUGUAGCUACAGAUAUGGGUCUAAACUUAGAGAUCGAGGGGUGACUAAGAAUAGUCAUAGAUUGAUAUAAAUUCCUAGUCUUUUAUGUUUUAAUAAAAGAUAUUUGAAAGUUAUCUCAAGAUCUAAAUAUUUAAGAUUGUCGAUUUGAGGGAUAUUAUGUCCCUCGGUUUGAAAAUAGGGGUUAAUCAUAUAAUCCUGAAGAUUUUAGAAGUUUAAGGUAACUUUCUCAAUGAUGAGAAAGGGAUUAGGAUGGAUCUUCUUAAAAAAAUACCUUAUUUCUAUGAAUUCAUACAUCCCACAAAAUAAUGGAAAUUUUUUUCAUAAGAUGCUGAAAAAUUUUGAAGUUAAUUUUAUGGUUUUUAUACACCGUUUCAAGCCAACCAUAUGAUAUCUUUGAAAGUUUAUGUAUUAGAUAUAAUAUUUCGAAGAAAUAAAAAUAUAUCAUUUAAGUAAAAGUAAGUCUUUAUUUAAUAAUACAAUUUCGCAUAUUAAGGUUAAAACUGUAAAUAAAAAAAAAUUGCUAGUUUUUAUUCUAUAGAAAUUUAAGAACUAUUUUUUAACCAUCAUUUACUUCAAAAGUAGUUAUAUAUAGAAAAACAUUGAUAUCAAAUAUUAAUUAAAUUUUGUUUUAGCUUCAAAAUCUAAAUUAUAAGAAUAAAAUUAAUAAAAUAAAUUUCUUUAUAAUUCUAGUUUUAUUUUAUAUAUUCAAUAUACUUCCCAUAAAUCCACCAUCGUCUUACUAUGUUUUAAUCUUAAUUAAUUAUAACUAAUAAAUAAAUUUAAGCAUAAUUUAACAUUAUUCUAAAAAUAUGUCAUAAAUAGUAAAUAAUAAUUUUAAAAACAGUGAAUUAUUUAUAAAGGGUAAACACUAUCAACUUUUCUUUCAUGACUGGUGGAAUAUUCUUUAGCAACAACUCUAAUUAAUGUGGUUACAUCUACAAUAAAACCAAAUAAUCACGAUUCUAACUAAAAAGUUUCUACAUGAAUAGUAAUUAGGUAGAAAUUGAGGAACUUCCAACUCUAAAACUCAAAAUAUUUAGCAACAACUAGUUAGAUUUUAUGAAAGUUCCAAGACAUAAAAAAUUUAAAUUUUAUGAAGUCAAGCUAAUCCCCAACCUCCGUUAAUCACUUGUGAGAGAGGGUGAAUUAAGUGAUGAUUAAUUUAUGUGCAACAAUAAAUAAUUAAAUAGAUAAUGGAAUAAAAAGAGGUAGGAGAUGAGAAGCAAACUUCAAUUUUUAUAAUGGUUCAACCCAAUCUCGAUCUAUGCUCAUUCCAAUCAAGUUUCAACCCUAAGCCAAGGAUCCCAUUAAACCAUUGCUUCAACCAAGCCUUGAAUUGCUUUUAAUUGGAUUGUUGGUUCAAAUGGAUAUUCUACAAAGCUCCUCAAGUGAUUAUUUAUACUUGAAUUCUUUUGUCCCAAUACUUUAUAACUGAAUAAAGGUGAACAACUCUAGUUUAUAAAUUUAUGUUCUAGGAAUACAAUAAUAAACUAUGAUUGAAGAUAUUGUAUUAAAGGAUUGCAAAUUUUGCUUAAAUACAUUCAAGGAUAAUAGUAAGCUUGUUGGAGAAAACAAUAUACUCUCUCAAUGAUGAAUGUGUAAAUGAAGUCUUAUAUAUAUGAAUUGGUAACUCAAAUUAGACGUUAGGUACAAAAGAUUACCUCAACUAGUUGAACAUAGUGAUUAACUGACCAAUUAGUCAUUAAAGCUCAUAAAAGUACUACAACAAUGACUAUUAGUCAUAGUUGGUUUGAUUGGUCUCACCAAGUGGCUCAAUUAGUGGCUUGACCAAUUGAGGCUCUACUUGAACCAAUGACCAAUUUCUAGAGCACUUCUCAAAGCCUCCAAAGUCACCUCAUUAGUCGCACCUAUUAGUUGAUCGAUCUCCCUCAAUUCUGUAAAAUUUGAAUAACUUUUGAAAUGAUUUUGAAAGUAUUUCAUUCAAAAGAAUUUUCACCCCAAUUUAUAAAAAUUGUAGCAGAUGAGAAUGACAAUGAUCCACAAUCUACUACAAUGAAAAGGGAAUCAAAAUCUUAACAAGAGUAAAAUUUGGUUUUUCAUAAGAAUGAACUUUUGUUUAUAUAUUCUUUCUACUACUACAGUAGUAAAAAAAUGGAAUGAAUUUUUCAUUCCCGCUUGCUCUUCUAUAUUCCAAAUAUGUCGGUUAAAUGAACUAGGAUGUUUUUAUUUUAUGAUUCUCAUUGUAAUAGACUCAUAAAGGAAAAAUAAUUUAAAUAUUCUUUAGUUUUUUAUUAAGAUAAGUAACUUUUGUUUUUUAACUACCUCCUUAAUUUUAAAUUUUGUAGAUUUUGCACAUGAUUAAUCUCUUUCAAAGCUUUAAAUUCAGGGGAUCGAUGAAGUUAUACUAUUCUAAUAGUUGUAUAAAUUAAAUAUAAAUAUGGUGCUAACAAUCUACUGAGUUUCGAAUUUUUUUUAUGAUUUUCGAUUUUAUUAGUUUAAUAAUUCAAUAUAAAUAAUUAACAGGUGGAAUACUUCAAGAAAUUAGUUCCCGAGUAUAAGUGUGUUCAAGUCUUUUACAAAAUAGUGUAGAGAAAAACAAAUUAUUACAUCUCUUUAUACCUAUCUAUUUUAAUAAGGUGGAUAAAGAAAGAUACCAAAAAAAUUAAAAAGUACCUUAGAUUUUUAUUCACGGUUGACAUAUAAAUAUAAAUGGAUAGAAAGUGCCUUCAAACGAAUAUUUAUGUGAUGAAUAUAUUAGACUAUAAAGAAAAGAAAGGUCUGGUAUGGAGAUAUGUUGGGAAAAUGGAAGAAUAUUUUAUGACUCCUUGAUUGUAUAUAGUUUUAUAAUGUACAUAGUGAAUUCAUUAUUUGAUCCAUGUAUAAGAUUUUUUUAAGACUCAAUAAUUAUUUAUGAUUUUAUUGCAUCCAUAAUGAAAUGAUUUUUCUGGUAGAUGUAUAUAAUCAUAGUCUAUGGAACAAAAUUAAAACUUCGUGCAACUUCUUCAACCACAACUUAGAGAUUGGUAUAGAUUUAUUUAUUUAAAAAGCUGAUAGUACAACAUCCAUGCCUCCGUCAAUCUCCUUACAUGACUUAUUUUUAGCAUAACUACUUAAGGAGUAGUUUAUUUAUUUAUGGUAAACGAGGCCUAAGAUGGGUGUCGGCUCUCACACCUUAAGCGCGCGGCUCUAUUUCCGGGCACAGAUAGGGAUGGCAACGGGGCGGGUUCGGGGCGGGGCGCCCCCCUCCCAACCCCGCCCCGUUUAUUUAAACCAAUUCCCAUCCCCGUCCCAUUUAAAAAAUUAAACGGGGCGGGGCGGGGCGGGGCGGGGCGGGGCGGGUAUGCUACAUUCCCAUACCCGUCCCGUUUAACUUUUUAUUUAAUUUUAAUUUUAAUUUUUUUAAAAAAUUACUUUUAAAUUUUUUUAAUUAUAUUAAAAUAAAUAUAUUUUAUAAAUAAUUAAAUAAUUAUAUUUUUUAUAACUUAUUUUAUUAAAAAUAAUUUUUUAUUAUCUAUAUAUUAAAAAUAAUAAAAUAAAAAUUAAAUUAAUUUAAUUUUAAAUUUUAAAUUAAAUUUAAUUUUAAUUUUAAUUUUAUAUAUAAUCGGGGCGGGGUGGGGCAAUACCCGAACCCGCCCCGGGUUUCAAAAAAAAUCUCAAACCCGUCCUAUACCCGUUUAGAAAAAUAAUAUCCCACCCCAUUAGGGGCGGGGCGGGGCGGGUACCCGAAAUGACCCGCCCCAUUGCCAUCCCUAGGCACAGACGAAUGAAGUACACGAGCUCCAGAUGAAGAUUCAUCUGGUCCUCGUCCAGAGGAAGAUUCAUCUUCUUCCAAUCCAGAGGACAAUUCUUCUCCCAGACACAUGCUUCGUAGUUGCCCGGGACGCCUUUGUCUGUGGCUACAAGAUGGAGUUUGUGAAGGAUGCCUUGGUCUUCGGGGAGGCGCUGAUACCACCCUUCAUACGUGUUAACGAAUUUCAGGCAGGAGCCCGUCCUACUGUUGUNNNNNNNNNNNNNNNNNNNNNNNNNNNNNNNNNNNNNNNNNNNNNNNNNNNNNNNNNNNNNNNNNNNNNNNNNNNNNNNNNNNNNNNNNNNNNNNNNNNNAGUGAAUUCAUUUUUUGAUCCAUGUAUAGGAUUUUUUUUAAGACUCAAUAAUUAUUUAUGAUUUUAUUGCAUCCAUAAUGAAAUGAUAUAAUCAUAGUCUAUGGAACAAAAGUAAAACUUCGUGCAACUUCUUCAACCACAACUUAGAGAUUGGUAUAGAUUUAUUUAUUUAAAAAGCUGAUAUUACAACAUCCAUGCCUCCGUCAAUCUCCUUACAUGACUUAUUUUUAGCAUAAGUACUUAAGGAGUAGUUUAUUUAUUUAUGGUAAACGAGGCCUAAGAUGGGUGUCGGCUCUCACACCUUAAACGCGCGGCUCUAUUUCCGGGCACAGACGAAUGAAGUACACGAGCUCCAGAUGAAGAUUCAUCUGGUCCUCGUCCAGAGGAAGAUUCAUCUUCUUCCAAUCCAGAGGACAAUUCUUCUCCCAGACACAUGCUUCGUAGUUGCCCGGGACGCCUUUGUCUGUGGCUACAAGAUGGAGUUUGUGAAGGAUGCCUUGGUCUUCGGGGAGGCGCUGAUACCACCCUUCAUACGUGUUAACGAAUUUCAGGCAGGAGCCCGUCCUCCUGUUGUGCUCCAUCACGGAGAACGUUCCCAAGAAUUGCAGCUGACCUACGUUGUGGUUCGGAGUCCAUCGUUUGCUUUCCAGUGUAGUUAUUUUUCCGCCUAGAUCUAUCUGAGUAUUUGCUCCGUCGAGUUUCAGGGGAGCCAUGUUGCGGUAGGGUUGCACCUGAGCCAUCGUGCGGCCGCCGGAGACUUGUCAAAGCUGUAGGUUUAGGAUAGGUUUUUGUGGAGGUGGUGGUGGCAGAUGUGGUGGCGGUGGCUCCAUUUAUAGACUCGGAAAUGAUGCUUAUGAUGAUGACGGAAAAUGCCCUUCAACCUUCUUGGAGCUUGAGGAAUACGAAUCUAGGGUUUCCGGCAGAGGAAGACAUCUCUGAAAAUUGACGUUGAUAUUAUCCAUUUUGCAUUUGUAGGCAUAGGAGACAAGGAAAAAAUAAAAUAAAUUAAAAUUUCUAAAUAGUUAAAAAAAAAAUUGUUAAAAUGGAAAGUAUAGCAAACCAUUAAAUGUUUCUUUUACCAUUUAUCCUGUGAGCACUAACAUUAAUUUUUAUUUUAAAAAGUAAAUUAAAAUAUUAAAUACAUUUGGUAAUUAAAUAAAUAUUUAUUUCCUACUUUAAAAUGGAAAACAUAAAACAAUAUUUGUACUAAUUAGCAAAAUACAUCUAAUGUCCACGGAGAUAUCCUUUUGGAAGAAAUGAGGGAAUACAUUUAGUGCAUUAUUAGAUGGUGGGCCUCGAGGAUAUACUCUCACAUAAAGGAAUAAAUAGAAAAAUUGACGGUUUAGAAUUUUACAUCUCUACGUUACUUUUUCAAGAUUGACAUGGGUGAUUGAUAGAAUAUUUUUUGUGAUUGAUAUUGAACAGCGGAAUCAAUUGUCCAUUUUUAUUCUUUUUUUUUUUUUUUGGGGACAACACGAUCAAUUACCCAUUUUUUUUUUAUCUUUAUGCUUGUCAUAGGUUAUCUUUGAUUCUAAAAAGUAGUAAAAGAAAAAAAGAAAAAAAAAAAAAAAAUGAGUUUGAAGUAGUAUACGAAAAUAAUUUAUAUAUAUAUAUAUAUAUAUAUAUAUUGUCAAGUUUUUUGGAAACUAAAUAGAGCUUUAAGAAUUGUUAGUUCCUAAUCUCAUUAAAUUUUUAUAUUUUUUAUUAAUUAAUGUAGAAUAAUAGAGUUUUUUUUUCUUUUUAACGUAAAACACCUAAAUCAAUUCUUCUUAUUUUGCUAUAAUAUGGAGAAGGUUAAAUUAUGGUGUAAAUAGCCUCUGAAGAGUUAUUAAUUUUUUUUAAGUCAUCUUAAGUCAUUCCUCAAUUUUUCUGUCAUAUUAUAAUAGAAAAUUCCCAUUACGGUGUAAAUACCACCCUCCUAUAAUAGAAUUCCUUGUCAUCUUAAGUCAUUCCAAUCUCAUGAUCUAGCUCAUAUGUUUUCAAAAACAGGGAGAACUCCUUAAUGCAAUUUUUAAAUUUUCACUUCAUGUGCAUCAUAAAUUAUUUUUAAAUAAUUCUAAACCUCCACAAUUUGGUGUGUAAGAAUCUUUGAUUUAGAGUGUAUUUAGUAGUGUUUCUCUUAUAAAAUAUAAGAUAAAUUUCUUUAUAAUUCUAGUUUUAUUUUAUAUAUUCAAUAUAUUUCUCAUAAAUCCACCAUCUUAUUUCUAUGUUUUAAUCUUAAUUAACAUAAUUUAAUUAUAAAUAAUAAAUAAAUUACAUAAACUUUACUCUAAAAGUAUUUCAUAAAUAAUAAAUAAUAAUUUUAAAAAGGGUGAAUUAAUUAAUUUUCUUCAUCUAAUAUAUAUUUUUUUUUAAUGAAAACUAUUUAGAGUAUGUUAGGUUCUUGGAAAAUACAAGGAAAAGGAAAAAUACUUUUAAGAAAAAUUAUUCUCCUAUUUUUGGAAACAAAGAAAAGAGAUAGAAAAAAAAAAGUAUUAUGAAAAGUUUUUAAACAUUUUCCUAAAUGAAAUGAAAAUUUGGAAGUACGUACAUUUGUCAACAAUUUUAAUUUUUUUUUCUAUUUUUUUUUCUAAUUAUUUUUUUCAAUGUUUAUGACAACUAUAGUAUUUUUUUAUUUAAUAUAUAAUAAAAUAAAUAAAUAAAAAUAAAAAUGUAUUCAAACAGCACCUCAAGCAAAAUUUAACUUCAAUUUAACUUAAAGUGCAUAUAGUAAAACUUAAUACUUUUUACUUAAUGAUUCAAAUGAACUUUUAAGUUAAAUUUUUUUAAGGGUAUUCAAUAAAACUUAAUAUUUAGUUUUUAAUUUAAAUAUUAAAAUUAUUUUAUAAAAUUAAAUUUUUUUCUAAAUCAUCAAAGUGACAUAUUUGUCUUUGUUAAUUUUAACUAUUAUGUAUAUUUUUACUAAUCUUAAAUAAUAAAUUUAUUUAUUAAAUAUUUAUAUUUAAAGUAUUGUAAAAGCAUGCUAUUAUUAUAAAGGGAUUCAAGGUAAAUUACUUAGAAUUCAACCUUAUUCUAAACACUUAAGAUGAAACUUGAGAAGUUAGUGGCCUUAUGUGAUUCUUAAAACCUGUUACCACCCUUAGUUGAAUAACUAACUAAGAGUGGAUUCACAUAGAAAGAGAUUUUUUUAAAGAUGAAAAAUAGAAAAAUGCAUAAGCCUAUUCAUGCUUAUCCAAGAGGAAAAAAAUAAGUAAAUAAAUAAGUGAAUUCCAAUUCUUAAUUAGGUUGAGGGAAUGUAGUCUUUUGAUAGCCAUGACUUAGAGGUAAGAAAUUUUGAGUCCUUGAACGAACGAGUGGUAAAGGUCAAAGUUUGAAAGGAUUGAUGGAAUGAGUAGUAAAGGAGGUUUAAAAGGAUUAAGAUAAAUACUAAAUAUCUUUUCAUGGGUUUAGUUUGAUUUGCAAUCGGUUUCCUCAAUAGGGAGGAAAAUGAAAUAACUUGACUUUUUCAACUAAGGGAUUCAAGCGCUAAAUUAGUUUAGCGAGUAAAUGGAUGAGCCAAUGCAAUCGAGAAGGUGGAAUUGGUUACCCUCAAUGUGGUGUUUGGCUUCAAUUCAGUUGAAGGGGUUUAAGUUUGAUUUCAUAUACCUUGGAGCGAGUUGCAUUACCAUAGGAAUGUAUAGUUGAUUUUCUAUAACUUAGUAAAUUGAUAUAUAUUGAUAAUAAAUAACUUUGAGUGUUAAAAAAUCAUAAAUUUUAAGAAUCUUGUUUUAUUUAUGAUUAAAGUAUUUUAGAUAGAGUAAUAAUUUGAAUUUCUCAAACACAUGGAUUGUAUUUUUAUUAUGCCCAUUAUUCUCUUUUAUUGUUAAGGAGUAGUAAUGUUCAAAUUAAAGCAAGUGAUUAAAACUAUUGAAAAAAAAAAGGUAUUUUCACACUUAAAACCUAGAUUUUAUCAUGAAUUGAGUAUUAAUAAUAUACUUUGAACUUGAAUUCAUGCGGCAUUCCAUUUUAGAGUUAAUUUGUUUAUUUAAGUGAAAAAAUAAAGUAAAAGAAGGAAAAUACAUAUUUUGGAUGAAUUUCAAGAGAAGAAGGAUACAUAAGGUUGAUGAAAGCAACAUGAGAGCCAGAACAUUCCAUUGAUGUCUAAACAGCUAGUAGAAGGAGACAGUGUCUUAGACAUUUGGUUAUGAGGACUAAGAAGGUAAACGAUUAUUUAGAAUGACUACAAAGCAAAAUAAUCAAUCAUUACAAGGGAGAAAAUCAAUUGACCUAUGGAGAAUGAUUAAUUGUCCUAGGUAAAUGUUCCUUAGAAAAUAAUGGAAGUUAUUACUUAAAAAGAGAGGAUGAUUAAUUAUCCUAAGGAAGGCUUGAUCAACUGCCUUCAUUUGAAAAACAUGCGAUUGAACAUCCCAUGCACAAAAACCUUAAUUGUCCCUUGAAUGUCGUAUAUUAUUGAAGAAUAUGAUCACAAUGAUAUCUCAUAGACACAUGGUUAUCAAGAGUUCCUUUUCAGCUAAUGAGUACAUCCAUUUCGUGGAUCAUGGGAUAGAGUGGGGCUAGAGAAUAUUCUACCACAUCAACAAUGGACAAAAGAAUUGCCCUUUCUAUCAUGUUAUAUUUAUAUGCUUCUUGAUAAUUGAUAUAGACACCAAAAUCAAUUAUCCAUCUUUUUAUUGAUGCAAGACAAUAGAAUUUAUUUUCCUUUUUUUUUUUCCAUUUUAUCACCUAAAGAAUAAAAGAAUUGUCGGUUUCUAAUCUUAUAUGCUCCAUUAUUAUGAUUGAUAUCACAAAAGAAUCAACUAUCAAUUUUUAAGCUCUUUUUUUUGUAAUUGACAUACAACAUAAAGUAAUGAGAGAAAAGAAAAAAUAAAUUUCUAAAUAAUUCGGAUAAUAACUAAAACAGUAAGGACACUGUACCAUGAAAUGCUACAUUGAUAUUAUGAGGCUUAUGUGCACGUUGGAGAUAAAUGGUGGUCAUUAAAAACAAUAAAAAUAAAGUGAAAAAUAAUUAAUUUUAUUUCAAAUUAAAAUUUUGAAAUUCAUCCUUUUGCUAUGUAUUUUAAUUUUUUUUAGAGUUUAAAAUAUAUAUAUAUAUAUAUAUAUAUAUAUAUAGAGAGAGAGAGAGAGAGAGAGAGAGAGAGAGAGAGAGAAGACUUAAAAAUAGGACACAAUUUUUAAUUUUUUUACUUUUUAUAGUAUGAUUACAAAAAUGUUUUUGUUCUUUUAAACAAUAAAAUUACAAUGAUCAAACAUACAUAAAAAAGAAUUUAUGCAUUUUAGCCCUUUUAAGUCUAGUAUAUGAUGCCAGGUGGGAGUGGUGGGGCUUCAAAAUAUUCACUGAGAAAUGGAUAGAAGGAUUGUCUAUUUCUAAUUUUUGAUAGAUUUCAAGAUUCUUUUUGUGAUUGAUGUAAUAUAAGAGAAUCAAUAAAAAGAAUUGUUUGUUUGUAAUCUUGUCACGCUUUCUUCCUCUCUUUUCUAGAAGUGCAAAAGGAAUCAAUUGUCUAUUUUUAUGCUCCUUCUCCACAAUUGAUGUGAAAAAUCAUAAUCAACUAUUGAAGAAGUAUUUAUAUAAGAAAUGAAGUCUAUCCUACGAAAAAAUAAAGAAUAUGAGGAAAAAAAUGUAAAUAAGUAAACAAUAUAAAUUAAAUAAAAAAAAUAUAGAAAACUUAACAACCAAAACAAUCAAUAUCAAGCCAUCCAUAUUUUUCAUUUUAAUACAAACAUGAAGAUCCUUCUAUUUUAGUCACGAGUACUCAUACUAUAAAUGUGAAAUUUAAUGACAAAUUUUUUUUAUUCAUGACUAAAAUUUCAUUAAUAAUUAUGAAUGUUACAUUGUAAAAGAAAAUUUUUGUCGUAAAAUAUUUUAUCAUUAAACUUUUGCUUACAAAACUAUUUUUUGUUAUUAAAAUUUGUCACGAAAAAAUUAGCGUCAAAAGUUGCCACUCCCCCAUAUGGCCAAAAAAAAUUAUGAUGAAAUGCAUAUAUUUAUGAUGAAAUUAUUUGUUAUUAAUUUUCAUUUUUCAGUAAUAAACAAUUUUUGUCAUCAAUGACAAAAUAUGCAUAUUUGUGAUGAAGUUAUUUGUCACUAACUUUCAGUUUCCAUUAAUGAAUAUUUUUUGUCACCAAAUCCUCAACCAUUUUUUGGAAAAUAUAUUUAGUGCCUAUAAUUAUUUCAGUUGCCAUAAAGAAACAAUUUCAUUUUCGAUACAAAACAUACAUUAUAACUUUUGGACUUUGGAGUUACAGUAUGAUUCCUUUAUUUGGAUCUAGGUCAAUGUAAAGAUGAGUGGCCCAAUUGUGAAAACCAUCCAAUUGGCCCACUAUGAGAGGAAAAAUGGGCCAAGAAAUCAAUGGGCCAAUAAAGUUUUAAAAUUUUGCAUCUAGAUUCAACUAGAGUAGCCCAACCCAAAUUCAUCUAAUGAAACUCAAAAGUAAUAUAUAUUCAUUGCCUAUAAGAUUUGAAUCCAAGUAAAAACAAGCUUAUUAAGUUUGGAUCGAGUCCAACUUGAAUAAAUAAUCUUUAAAUUCAGGGUGAGUUUGGAUUGAUCAUUAAUUCUAUUUAAUUAAUACUAAUAAAAUCGAAUUAUACAUAAGUAUAUGAUUAUUUUAACACAAAUAGGUAUGUUUAUAAGGGAAAAACCCUAAUGGAUUGAAAGAUAAAUGAAAAAUAUUUUUAAAAUGGGUUGAAUAAUCAUUUAUUAGAAAACUCCAAUUUAUAAAAUUUUAAAACAAAAGAAAAAAAAUAGUUUCACAUAUAACGUUUUUAAGGAACACUCGAGAGCUCCCAAUAUUUUUAAUUUUUUCAAGCAUUAUCAACUUGUUUUUUCAAAAGUAAAUAUUCGCACAUCUACGUACUUUUUAUCUCAUCACUAAACACACUAAAAUGUCUUAUAUACUCCCUCAUUUUCCCACUUUAUGUUCGUACCAUCAAUAUAACUUAACCUUAAAAGUCGAAAAGUAUAUUAGUCAAAAAAAUAUAUACAAAAAUACAUAGUUUUAUAUCAAUGAUAUUUGAAACAAAAUUAUCAACUUAUUUUUCAUCAAAUCUAACCCACAAAACCCUCUUGAAUGUAUAAUUUUCUCCUUAUUCCAGAAGCUUGAAUUGAUCAAAUAUAAAAAUAUUGGGAUGGGUUUGCAACUUGGUCUCCAUAGAAAAAAAAAUGUCCAUAAAUUUGAAAAAAGAAAAAUGUAAAUUCCUCUAUCAUUGACUAUUUUCAUCAUACCAAGAAGGAAGGUGCACGCCAAAGUUCCCUUCAUAUCCAUCAGCUUCUUUGGAGUCAAGCAAGACCCUCCAAAGAUCCAGUAGUUAAAAGUAGUUAAGACACUGAAAGAUGCAUUUACUUUUGAAAAAACAGUCUGAUCUUUCUAUCGUUGAAAACAAUGUUUAAAGUUGAAUCACAACAUUCAAAAAUAUGUAUAUAAAACUCUUACGCGUGAAUCUUACGCCUUGCGUUAUAAUUUAUUGGGCUUUUAAAAAAAAAUGAGAUUUUUUUUUUUUUCUCUACCAAGAAUAGAUAAUAUAAUUUCCAAAGCGAACCACUAAAAAUAAAAGUUGUAUCGUCGUUGAUAAUUGUUUUUUUAAAGGGUUUUUUGUUCUCCAAACCAAAAAAAAAUAGAAAAACACGUUUAACAGCCAAAAAUUAUUUUUUAUUUUUUGUUUUUAAAAACAAAAAAUUUAAUGUUUUCAAACAAUAUCUUUUAAUUAUAUUUUAUUUUUUUCACUUAAUUUUUUAAAAUUAUUUUAAAAAAUAAUUAUAUAAAUAUAUAGAAUGAUUAAAAAUAAAACACUAAACAUAAAAAUUAUUUUUAAAACAUGUUUAAAAAUAUUAAAAACAAGUUAAAAAUGUUUUAUAUUUCCAAGCAGAUCUUUGUUUUAUAAAAUAUCAUAAAAUAGUUUUCAAAAACUAUUCUUAAAAAUUGUUUUCCAAACUGUUUUCAAAAACUAUUAUCAAACAAACCCAUAAUCUCCAACAUGUCCUUUAUUUUAAUAUUUUUAAUGUAUAAAUUUAGUUAUAUAUCCUCAAUUAACCCCUUUUUUCCUCUUAUUUGUUUCUAGACUAAGAAAUAUAAUUUAAUUAUUUACAAAAAUAUGUUAUAUACUUGUAAAUACUUGAUCCGCCAUUACCUACUCUAAUAUAUGAGCUUUUAAGGCUUUGUUUUGUAACUAUUUUCAAAACUAAUUCUCAAAAAUAAUUUUUGAGAAUAAUUUUUAAAAUUGUUUUCUAAUGUUUUAUACAACAGAUGUUUGUAUGAAAAUUGAAAUAUUUUUAACUCAUUUUCUAUGUUUAAAAAUAAAAUUUAUAUGUAAUAUUUUAUUUUCAAUUAUUCUAUAAAUUAUGUUUUAAAACAUUUAUCCGAAAAAAAAUUUUAAAAAAUUAAAAGACGUUGUCUUAAAACAUCGUGUUUUUCUUAGUUUUGAAAACAAAAUACUAUUAUCUGCUUUUUGUUUUGUGAUUAUCAAAUAUAUUUUUUUAUUUUUUUAUUUUUUGUUAAAAAAAUAUAAACGAAAACAGUUAUCUAUGGUCUAAGUUUUACACCACAUGUGAGAAAAUCAUCCAUAGUCAGGAUGAUUCUCAUUGAUUGAAAACAAAAAACAAAAAUAAAUAAAUAAAAAGGAAAGAAAAACAUAAGGAAUUGACCAUAAAGCUUAAUUAUUCCUUCUUUAAACUUUAAUUAAUUAAGCAAUUAAGAUUAAAAUAAAGCUGACUUUGAAUUUUAGUCAUUAAUUAUUUUGUUUCAAGGAUAGGUUGUCUUUUGUGCUAAUGUCAGUGUGAAUUGUUUCGUAUACACUAUACAUAUAUCGGCUGAAGUUGGGAGGAAGCUGCACCUUUGAGGGCUAGACGUAUAAAUUUAGAAGAAGAGAGAAGAAGAUUUUUAGGGCACACAGUCUUGGUAAUAUCAACAGACCUCAAGCCUAGUUUUCUUAAACAAGACCAUGAAGGUAUGUAUGAUGAAGGCUAAAUUGGAAAUUUUCAAGUGAAAAAUCUGAGAUGAUUCAACCUUGGUAUAUAUUUGACUUGAUGCAGCAAAAGGUGGUGAUCAGUGUCUCCUUCAAUGGCAACAAGAAUUGUCAGUCCAAAGCCUUGAAGAUUGCAGCUGGUUUUUCAGGUAUUUAAUUUUCUCCUCAUAAUUUUUUGCAUCAGUAAUCAUUAAUCACCAAUUUGUGUGUUCAUUUUUUAAAUACAGUUCAAAUUUAACCAAAUUUAAAUUGGGUAUCGACAAAGAGUUCAAUAAAAUUUUAAAAAUCUAAAAAAUUACUUAAAAUGAUUUGUGUCGGUAUUUGAUAAGUCUCUUGUGAUAAAAAUUACUUUUUUGUAACUUUUUGGGUAAAUUCUAAAAUUAAAAAUCAUUUUAAAAUUUUAAAGAUUAGUUUAAAAUGAUUUUUUGGGUUGGUAUUUAAUAAAUUCUCCUUAUCAAUAUUAUUAUUAUUAUUAUUAUUAUUAUUAUUAUUAAAAGUACUUUAUAUUUAUAUGGUGAAAAAGAGAAAAAAUAAAAAUAAAGACAAGAUAGAAGGAUGACUAGCAGGAGAAAGAAAGAAAGGAAAAGAAUUUGAUCCUUUCACUAUAAGUUGGGCCAGGCCUGCCUAAGGAUUUUGGGCUAAAGUCCAAUCCCACCCAAGCCAACAUGAUCAAUUCCUUUAGGGUAAAAAUUGGGCUGAUUUUUUAAACACAAACCCAAUCCACCAAACCACUAAAAUGCAUCUCAAAAUAUGAUAUGGAAGGAAAAUCCCUGAAUUAAGACUAGCUACAAUUUUGCCAAAUGCUUAGGCUUAGAAUUAAGGUGGUGUUUGUUUUUUUACUUAAUUCUAAAUAGAACCUUAAUGCUUAAUAGUAUUAAAUAUUAUGUUGUUUGUUUUUGUAGUAUUUUAUUUCUAUUAAGUAUUAAAAAGUAAAAAAAAUCAUUGUGUUAUUUUUUCUAUUUAGAAAAAGUCACAUAUUUUGGUUUUUUCUAUUUAGUAAAAAGUUUAUAAUAAGUCAUGAAAAAGUAAAAAAACAAACAACCUAAAUUCUAAAACUAAAUGGUUUUCAACAAAAAGCCAAAAAAACAAACACCACCUAAGUCUGACUUAGAAAUCAACAUUUUAGCUUACCAAAGCCCAAAGUUUCACCUGUAUCAUGGAUCCAAGCCAAGAGGGCCUACCCUCUUCACAUAUCUAAAUAGUAGGAAAUGGGAAUUAACUUUUUAACCUAGACCAACUCACAUGAGCCAAGAGCAAUCCAAACCCAACUUUAAUCUAGGCUAAGCUUACUUCUUUAUUAAGUUAAGACUUAAGACUCAAGUAAAAUCGCAAGAUUCUAAUGGUUAUUCAUGAUGUGAUAGGUGUUAACUCUACAGCAUUAGAAGGUGAGGACAAGAAUCAAAUUGUUGUUGUAGGUGAGAACAUCGAUGUGAUUGAGCUCGUAAAGAAGUUGAAGAAGAAGGUUGGAUUCUCUACACUCAAUAGUGUGACUCUGGUGGAUGGAGAAGAAAAAGAGGAGGACGAAGAAGAGAAGCCUAUUGAGUGGCCACACCAUCAAGUGGGCAUACCACAUUAUUACCUCUAUGAUGUUCCUUUAAAUCGCUCAAACGACUGUAGUAUCCUCUAAAAGAUAGAGAAGUUACUACAACAUUAUGUAACAAUAAAUUACCUAUAAAGGAAUAUUAUCUUAAGUAAUUAUCAUUUGCCAUUUAGAAAGUCAAAAACCUAAGUUCAUCGAGAUCUAUAUCUUAGAAAAUAAAAAUAAAUAUUGCUAAAGGUCAUAUUUCAAAGUAUAGAAGUAUAAAUUUGUUAGUUCAAUCUUAGGGUGUAACUUGGAAAGAUUGGCCCAAUGUAACUCGAAUCCAAUCCAAUGUUUGGGUGAGGUUAAGUAAACAUUUUUAAUAAUCGGGUUGAUCUCAAGUUGAAUUUCUUCAAUUUGAGCUUAAUUUGGAUGUGAUUGAGUUAGGACUCAAGCCAAAAACUUCCUCGCUCUUUGAAAAUUGCAUCUUUUGGUAAUGCACCACAUACAUCUAAGCCAAUACAAAUCAAGAAGCAAACUGUUGAAUCCACAUUGGUAGCAUCACUAUUUGUUGAAUCCACAUUGGUAGCAUCACUAUUUGUCUAACAACAACUUCAAGACAUGAUAACUUACAUUAUCAUAAUGCAAUAUGUCGCACACUUACAAAGUACACUCAUGUAUUAUAAGCUUUACCCCAAGAUGAUUGAUAACCCACAUACGCAUACGAGUUAUCAACCUCCAAAGUUUCAAUUAUUCGAUGAAAAGGGAAACUCAAAGCAAUACGCUGUCUAUUUCAUCAAAACUUGCAAUAAUGCAGAAAGCUCGGACCAAGGUUCAAACAAUCCAAACUUAACCUAAACAUGAUUUAAUAUUUUUAAAUAAUAUUCUUUUUUUUUUAAUUUUUAAGAAAAGUAUAAAAUUAGAAUUAUAUCAUUUUUUAUUUUUUAGAAAAAUAUAUAAGUUUUUUUUUUCUUGAUGCUAAUUUGAAUUUUUUUCUUAUUUAUUAUUUAACUUUUGGUAUAAAUAGAUAUAAAAAAAUGUAAAAUAAAAAACACAAUACAGGCCAGUUUAACUCAACUAACUGAAACUCAACCCAAAUAUAGGAAAAUGAGAUUAAAUUAGACUUGAAUUGAGUAGCUCAAAUUAGAUAUCAGAUUUUGCUGAAAUCGGAUAUAUUGUUUCUUAAUUCGGGUUAGACUUGAUAUAACAUCCACCCGACGAAGUAGCAAAAUUAGCCCCAAUUCCAUCUUAUCCCACAAAAUUAAUCUUCUUUCUCUACAAUCUUUGAAGUCAAACUCCUCGCUAGGUUAUUGAUCACAUCAACAGCAGAUAAAAGUGAUCUAAUUCCUCCCAUCUAAGAAAUAAUUCCAGCUUUUUAUUGAUUUACAGUCCUUAAAGCUUAUAAUUUUAAGCUGCUUCAAUCCACAAAAGAAGGGGAAAAACCAUUUGCUGUGCCAAAAUAUUAUUUGAUAAUCCAAAACACCAAAAUCCAAAAUUUUCCAUCAGCAUUUCCGCAAAUUACAAACCACAUUCUUUGGAAGCCUUCAGACGGGUUGAAAGGAAGUGAGCUGCUUGGUGCCAUCCAGCUUCUCCCAAACAACCGCCUCGUACUUCUUCGAUGCGGCGCCGUUCUUGGCCAUCACCGUUAGCCGGUAGUUGGUGCCGGCGACGACCUGAGUCUGGCCCUUUAUCACGCUCUGGAACUUCAGCUUCGUCGCGGUCAACUUGUUGUGCGCCUCCACCGCGAACUUCCCGAUCUCUUGCACGUGAGGGUUCUUCACGUCCUCGAUCGGGCUCCAGCCGCCGAGAAGAGCAUCGGAGGCUACUGCGACGAGGAGGAGCGAAGCCAGGAGGAGAGAAAGACGGUAUUGCCCCCGCGCCAUCGCCGUUGGGUUUCUUUCUGAAGCAGUGUGAAGCGGAGGUAUGGUAGUCGGUUGGAUUUAUAGCCGGAGGCCCAUUAAAGAAGUGGGGCCCAUUUUGUUGGGUUCCCAAUGUGGAGAAAGAUAAGUGGUCCAGUUGUGCAGCCCCCGCUGACCACCCAAGUCCUCCCUAAAGGAAGUGGAAAAUAUCGUAGUAAUUUCUUAACAAAGCCGUUUCGUAAGAAACAUCAUCCAGGGCAAGAAAAAGAAAAAUGCUUUCCUCAGGAUACUUCCUUGUUAAGCUCUUUUUAAAGACCAAAGCUUUAUUAAAAGGACCCCAUUUUUAUUUUUUUAUUUUUUUUUAUUAAAAGAAUAAAAAAGCCAUAUCUAAACAAGAAAUUCAAGGACACCAAAUCCGGUGAAUUAUUACAAAUAUAUAGGAGGUUAGAAAUUAAGAUUUGAGUCCGAAAGAUUAGACCAGAACAGGCUCAAAGAAGGUAAGGUUCUUGAAGUUCUCCCAUGGUUUCUCCCACACAUAAGCUUUAUACAUCUUUGGCAGCUCACUUUCAAGUGCUUGAAUCACCAUCCUAACAUUCAGGCCUUCGGCAAUCUGCGCUUGAGCCUGAAACACCGCAUAGAAAAACAGGCUGGAGGCGGUGGAGUUGUUGUAUGCCAGCACUGCAAACAUGCCUAAAUCUUGAACGUGAGUGUUGUUGAUCACGUCCGGAAUCUCAUUCCAUCCACCCGCUGUCACUGGGGCUGCUGCAUUUGCACUUAAAAUGAUGAAGACGAAGACACAGAAGAGCCGGCACAAGAACUGACUUUGAAGUUCCAUUUUUUUUUUUUUCUUUUUGGUGUUUGGAGCUGCCCAAUCUGAGAUUUUAAAUGGGAUUCUUGAUAUAAUAUGAAUAGAUUUAUGCCUAUAGUCAUAAAUUUCAUAUCAAUCAUUUAUCAUCUCUGCAUGAAAUUAUGAAUCAUAAGUAUGACUUUUUUUUGUGCAGAGAAUUAUGACAGUAGUAAAUGUGUGAGAAACUAAAUGGGCAUUUAAAAGGAUGAAAGGCCGUGUACUGUGCUGCAGAAAACUGAAUAGGUAGAUUACAGUUGCACCCACAAAGACUUUCCUUUCUCCAUUUUACUUCUAUGCUGUGUAAAUGACACAGCCAUAAAGCUUCUGUACUAUAUUUAAAGAGGAACAGAGGAGUUUCUGGUCAAGGAGUAAUAUGCCUAAAGGAGAUGAUAUGUAAUUAACAUGUAUAUGCAACUUAAACCUGAAUUUUUCGAGGUCUGAUUGGUUACUUGAAAGUGUCCUAGAAUCUGUUCGCUUGCUAUUGAGGAAGGAGGCCAUUGCAUAUGUUUCUCUGCAUCUUGGAUACAGCAAGAGAUGACCAGCAAACUGAGCUAAAUACCGACAAAUGGAGGUCUAGUUUGAUAAUUUUAUCAUCCCAUUGUUGAAUGACAGUUGACCAUACGAAGAACCAGUACGUAGGGCUCACCUUGGUGCUGAUUUUCAACAAUUUGCUUAAGUGGAUGUAGACUCAAAAUGAAAAUUGCUUUCAAAGUUGUUAUUUUAUCAAUAAUGGCAUGAACUUUUAAUAUUGAUGAUCAGAAACAAAGUAUGAAGGCUAACAAAUCCACCAUGGGAAGAAUCAUUAGAUAAAUAAACAAUUGCCAUAGGAGAAAAGCAUAUGCCUUUUUCCCUUUCAUGAUUCUUGUCACAGACGAUUUCUUUUCCUUUCCUUAUUACUAUACAAUAAGGCUACUAAUAUGCCAAGAGCCAAUGCCUUGUCAUGGUAGCGGCCGAUCCUAUGCAUUUCACCUUGUUUGUAGAGAAUUUGCAAACUGGUUGCAGGGAUUUGAAUGGUGUCACAUUUCUUCGUUUGUCCCAAAAACAUAUGCUCCUGCAAGGGACAACAUUAGUCAUUAAACAUAUAUGAUGAAUCAAAAUUCCUCCUAAUUAAGGAAAAAAUUUGUUUACCGAGUGAAGGCAUUAGAAGGGAUAAUGCAGCAAUUCCAGCAAUCUUAAGAGGCACUCCUGUCUUGAUCAUAUCUUUGAUUUCAAUGUGUCCUGUUGUGAACCCGACGACAUUCGAAGGAGUUCCAGUGGGCAGCAAGUAAGAAAACUGUGCUCCAAUGGCUCCAGGAACCAUGAGAAGGAGCGGGUGGACGUGCAUGGUUUGGGCUACUUGGAUGAGAAGGGGAACAAGGAGUGUUGUUGUGGAAUUGUUUGAGGUGAACUCAGUAACCGUACUACUUAUGAGACAGACGGCAGGCGCAAUGACCAAGUAGGGAGCGUGUUCCAGGAAAGUCAAGGCCUUUGACAACACAUCAGCCAGGCCACUUGACCGGACUCCGGCAGCUAUGGCAAAGCCAGCGCCUAGUAGCAAUACGAUGUUCCAUGGCAGCUUCUUGCAUUUGUUCCAGUCCAUCAGCUUCUCCCCCUUUUGUUUCUUGUUUGGAAUUAUGAACAAUAAGGUUGCCAUCAUCACCUACACAUUGGAUCAAACUCAGUCAUGUAGAAGUCCUUAUUUGUUGAGAGAUUUCAAUGGAAAUAGCAUUUUCUUAAAGACGAUUCUCACACUGGCAGUCCCAUCGCCUACACGACCAUUGAAGAGAGCUCCCCAUCCAGGAACAUCAUCUGUUAUGCUCCUUGUCAUCCAUAAGACUAUUAGCAUCUGCACCAACCCUCAAGGAUUAAUCUACAGACAUUUAUGUCCCUUUGGCUAAAAAGAAAAUUUUUUUAAGUCCUACUCUUUUAAAAUAAAAAAAUAUAUAUAUUAAACUAUGUGCAAAGUAUUAUUGUUAAUUUAUUUGUUUUCAAUUGUUACCAAACAUUGAAACGGAGAUAAAUACUGAUUUCAACCUUACAUUUUUAAAUGCAUCCAAAUACAAAGAUUGAAAUCACCGCCUAAUUUAUUCCUAUUUAAGGAGAUAAGGGAAUGAAAACAAAAUAUUCAUUUUCAUUCCUCAUUUUCUAGAUCAGGCUUUAUUAGAAUCUAUUCCCAUUACUUAGAAGGUUAUGGCACUUGUCUGCUUACCGAAAACACAGCCAACACCAUCUUUUCAGCAAAAGCCAUUGGACCUGUCCACACAUGUAUAUGUAUAGGUAAAGAGGCUGAAGAUUUUCUACAAUUGGGUGUAGGAAGUGGUAAAUUGAAGUAUUGAGUAUCAAAAUUUUGGGAGUUUACCCAACAUUUGAAGCUCUCUUCUGAGACUGGAUUUGUCCAAAUAAGCAGACAGAGCAGGACCUGCACCCCUGGAGCAGUACAAGCAGCAGAGAAUAGCCCACAAGGCAAAGAAAACCAGCAAAGCCAAAGGGAAGCCAAAGAAGAACCAUGUAUUAAAGCUGAUGGGGUCUGCCUCUGGGAAGUAGCUCUUCCACAUUCCUACCAAUAUGAGAUUGACGCCAGUACCGGUGAGAGUGCUCAUUCCCCCAACUGCAGCAGAGUAUAACACCCCAAGCACCACUGCUCUGCAGAAUUUAUCCACAUGGGGAGAUCGAGUUGGACCUGAUGGUAGCCUCUGUAAGAUACCAGUGGCUACGGGCAUCAUCAUCAGUGCUGCUGCAACAUUGUGCAUCCACAUACUCACAAAGGCUGUGGUGGCACAGAUGCCAAGGAGAAGCAAUGGGGGAUUCAGUGGAUCUCCACAAAAGAUCAAGGUAAUCUGCAUGGCCCACAUGUCCAUUUUUUUUUAAAUAAUUCACCCACAACUUUAGACUACUUUCAUAAUAGUCAAUUAUGAAGGUGGAGGUAUGUACUAUAUUCCCAUCAAAAGGUAAGCAACAAGCAUGCUUCAUAAUAACCAAAAAAACUCAAAUUUGUUAAGAAAUUAUAUAAUCAACUCCAACCCAUAAAACCCAUCUGAAAGAAGAGAUAAGAAAUCUAAAAUUUAUAUGGGAUUUUUAUGGAUCUAACAUUUAUGACAGAGACUAUGAGAAGAUGAUGCGGAAAAGAGAAGAAAUGUAAUGGGCUUAUCUCAAAAAUUGUGUGGAAACUCACAUUGAGGGCCAAUCUUCUAUGGAUGUUGUAAUGCUCAACAGCAAGAGCAAGUAUGAAGCUUCCAAGAACAAGGGAAAUCACAUCAUCCAUGUAGGAGUGAGCAACAUCAUCUGCGGAAGCGAUUCCAAAGAGGGGAAAGAGGAAGAGAGGAGACAUGGAGGUGAUGGGCAUAGGCACAGCUUCAGUGAUCCACCAAGCAAACAUCCAAGCAAGAACAGCCAACAUGUUCCUGCUGGUCACAGGGCCAUCAAGCUUCACAAAAAGGCAGAUGAGGGUGCAGAGCAGAGGCCCCAAGAGGAUGAAGAAGCUCUUGGGUGUGAAAAUGGACAUGAGAGACGCCCCAUUUGAGGUCUCCAUUGUGGUCGCCUGGACUGGAAGCAGUGGAGCUUUGAGGUCAUCAGAAACCCCAUUCGUGUUAUGCUCACUAUUCAUUUUGCAUAGAAGGAUGGUGAACAAGAAGAAGAAGAUGGUAUUUGUAUGUAAUGUUUACCGGGGGAUAACGUUGAUAUAUAUGGGCUCUGGUUUUUGAAGAUGGAGAUGAAUUAAAUGGACGAAAUAAUCUUUUCUUUUCCUUUCCUUUUUUUUGCCCUUUUCUUUUUCUUUUCUAUGUCUUGUUUGGAGCCAAACUAAUCAAUGCUCUUUAUUUUCGUCAUCCCUUCUCCAUUAUUCAACUCCUCCAAUUAUCCAUCUAACUUGUGGUCCUUGUUUGGCUGUCAUUUUUGUUGCUUGGGAUUGAAUUUUUCUUAUUCUUGUUUUUUCUGCUCCCAAAAAUGAAAAACCUAAAAUAGAAUUUGAUAUAAUUAAUUUUAGUAAAACUCUAUCCUUUUAGUAUAUAAUUAAAUUUAAAUUUAUGAAUAAAAUUAAAUAAAUAAAUAAUAUUUACAUUUCAAUAAAGGAGAUGAUGGAAAAAUUUUAAAUAUAUAUAUAUAUAUAUAAAAAAUAAUACGGUUGUUAAGUAUACAAAUAUUCAAAAUUAGUUAUGGGGCAAAAUUGGAUAUAGACAGCAACCCAAAAAUUAGUCGUGUUCUAGCAAUGAGUGGUUGAUGGGGGUCCAGCUGGACAAGUUCCAUCAAUCAAUUAAAGUUAAUUUACUGCUGGAUGGCUCCGAUUGCUCCAAGCCCUAUGACGUGGAAGGGCUGGCGGCUAAUAGUGACGUGUCAUACAUUAGUCUGACUCAAACGGCCCAGAGAUAUCGAUCCAACAAAUCAGCGCCAGACCCUUAGUUUUUUUUUUUUAAUCUUUUUUAAACUUAAAUAUGAUUUGAGAGUGACCAAAUUUAGUAUUAAUGAUGAGUCAUUCGUCAAGAUUAGGCUAAUCCAUUAGCAAAAUCGUUUACCAAAGAGUCAACGUCUCUAUAAUUAAGAAAGUUUAUUAAAAUUUUCUAAAUGAGAAAUUAAGAAUUACUAUAUUUAAGAGCCUCACAUGAGGUUGGGCUUUUAAAUGAAAAUUAAGAUCAUCAUAUUUAUUGACAUUAAUUUUAUAAAGUGUUUUUAAUAUUUUGAAUAUUUUAAAAAUAAAAAUUUUUAAUUGUUAAAAAUAUUAUAAAUAUUUUUUAAAAUUACUGUCAAACAUUCUAAAAGUGUUUUUUAUAAUAACUUUUUAUAAUAUUUUUAAUAUUUAUAAUAUGAUAAAAAAAAACUUAGAUGUUAAAAAUAUUAAAAAUGCUUCCUAAAAUCAUUAUCAUACAGGACUCUUAAUGUUAUCGCAGCACCUUAGCAGGCAUGGUGCAGGCUUAGCCUUCAUGGCAUGACCUUGAUUACUCAUUAUAUAACAAACUAAAAGAAAAAUUAUUUGAAAAUGGUGUCAUAAAAGAAUUGAAAAUUUUACGAUUGUUUUGAAAUUAUUGAAAGUUGUUUUUUUAAUAUGAAACUUUCAUAAUUUUUCAUAUCAAGCAUUCAUUAAAAUAAAAUAAAAAUGAAUAAAUUCAUAUUAAAAAUGUCUUUUGAAAAAAUAUUUUUAUAUAAAGCAUGGUUAAUUUUCAUUUAAAACGCUCCACUAUUUCUAUGUCAAAAACUAUAUUUUUAAAAGACAUACGAAGUAUGUAGAAGAUGUUUUUUUAAAAGAUAACUUUAAUGUUACCCUUUUUUGUUUUAAGAAAAUAAUUUUUUUUUUAUGAAAGUUGUUAUUUUAAAAAGCAAUCUCAGUGUAAAUUAAUUUUUUAUGAAAAUUGUUAUUCAUGAAAAGAGAAUGUAGAAAGUUGUCUUUUUACAUUAAGAUUAGGCAACGUGUCAAUUUUUAAGCAAGGAGGAGGGCUUUACUCCCCACUCCCCACAUAUUUCUCAUUUCAUAAUCGCAAUUGUGACACUGCCCAAAUGGGCUUGCUAAAAUAAUGAAGAUGUAUCCAAAUUGGCUUGCUAAAAUGAUGAAGAUGUAUCCAAAUUGGCUAUCUACUCUUUCAAGGACAAGACUAAGAAUGAAUAAAUAAAUAACCUUGGAGCCUACUCGACCUAGGUUUCCAUUAUCUUAUAAUUAAUUUUUUUUAAUAAAACUAACAUAUAAAAUUGUAAAAAUAUCUUUUAACUUAAGGAUAAUAGUUUUCAAAAACAGUUGUGAAGAACAAUCUUUGAGAGCAGUUUUUUAAAAUUAUUCUAUAAUAUUUUGUAAAAUAAAAGUCUAGUUAUAAACUUAAAAUAUUUUUAAAAUUAAAUAUAUUUAAAAAAUAAUUUUUAUUUUUAAUUAUUUUAUAUAUUUGUAUAAUUAUUUUUAAAAAAAAUUCUUAAAACACAAAUGAAAAUAGCAAAAAACAAAUAAAAUAUGUUUUUUAAAAUACCAUAUUUUUAUUUUUAAAAAUUAAAGAAAAAAUAGUUAUAAACAUGUUUUUCUUUUUUUCUAAAAACCAUAAAACUGCAGUCAAAAAAGUUUCCAAACAAGCCCAUAUCCUCCUUCCCCCACCAGAAUCCUUUCAGCAAGGUGAAGAAUAAAUUGAGGUGGGUGCAGAGGGAGAAAUAGUGGGUGUAUUAAGAACACCCAAACUAAAAUUUUCACCCCAUUUUGCCCUGUACAAGGUUCAAAAUUACAAGAUCCAUGUACCUAGGCUCACAACACGAGGAGGACAAAGUGGUCUUUAUGCAGCAGCAGUCUUGAUUCAUGAAUGACAAUCCUCCAAAUGUAAUCAAGUUUGCAACCAUCGUUGUCCUUCACAAUGCAGCCUUACCAUUAAGAUGGAAAAAGAGACGUGCAUCCAACUAUCCAAGGAAUAGAUGGCAUGCCAAUAAUACACUUGUGGUCUACACCCUUCACAUUCCUCUAGAGGACAUGUGCAUAAUUGUAAAUUACUUCCUAAAAUUCUUUUAAUAUUUGUCUGUACCAUGUUUGAUCACAUCACAUGUGAUGUUUUAUGGUUACUAGUAACCCAUCAAAACCAAAAUAAUGGUUUUAAUGCUUUGUAAACUACAAUAAUCGUCUUUAUUCUUCCACCCAUAUUUCAAUUUAAUUUUUAAUUUUUUAAAUAAUAUUAAUCCUAAAUUAUAUACAAAUACCAAAUAAAUCUUUUUGUUAAGAUUUUUUGUUCAAAUGAAUUAGACUAUUUAAGGUUAUAAGUUAGGCAGGUUGAUCGGAUUGAUAACUAAUCCAAACCAAAAUCAAAUUAAAUAACAAUCGAUUUUAGUUCAACUCAACCUAAAUUCUAAUUCAAAUUACUCAAUUCAGCCUUAUUUUUUAAAACUCAAAAUGAACUCGAGUUGUUCAAAUUAAAUUCAAGUUGGUUAGGUUAUAUAAAAUUAAUUCAAAAUUUUAAAACUACAUUUCUUUUGUCUUUGACUUUGCUUUUUAAUGGAAUUCACUUUAUUAAGUUAUACUCGAGCAUCAGCUAUGACGUUUCGUGUUUUUCCAUGUAGUCCGAGAUUAUUGUUAUUGACUUUUUGUGGAGAAACGUAUCGGACACCAUUUAGAAAUUUUUUACGGAAAAAUUUAAAAAAUUAGGGUAUGUUUAGGGGCGGUUUUCGAAAAUAGUUUUUUAUUUAAAAAAUAAAAAACACGUUUUAGUUGUUUUUAUUUUUUAUUUUAUAAUUAUUUUUAAAAAUAAUUAUAUAAAUAUGUAUAAUGAUUAAAAAUAAAAUUUUAAAGGUAAAAAUUAUUUUUAAAUAUAUUUAAAAAUAUUAAACACAAAUUAAAAAUAUUUGAGGUUUUUAAAUAUAUUUUUGUUUAAUAAAAUAUUAAAAAUUAAUUUUUUAAAAUUAUUCUUAAAAACUAUUUUUUAGAACAGUUUUAAAAACUAAUUUUAAAAAUGAGCCUUAAUAUACUUGAAAAAUUAAUGGGUUUUUUGUUGUUGACUGUUGACACCAGGAAUUCACCAAAUAGGCUAGUAGGGUUUCCAAUGGGCUGGAGUUGGGUCUAAAGAUUUUGGGCCGGGCUUAAACUUAUGGCUGGGCCGAAAAAGUCCACGAGUGAGAAGCUGAAUAUCAUUAAGUGAUUUUUAUUUUUUUUUACUCAUGUCCCAUUACUCUUAUGUUGUUCAUUUUUAUUCAUAUUAAAAAUAUUUACAAAUUAAUUGUCAUAUUUAUUUUCAUUUUAAUUUGAAAACUAAUAAUCAUUUAAUAUUUUUCCAAAUGUCUCAAAAUAUCAUAAUCUAUUACCAUAAUAAAAAAUUUUGUAAUGACUAAUUAUGUAAAUAUUAUGAAAUUAAUUAGGAUUUUUAUUUUUGCUUUGAUGCUUUGAAAGUAUUAUAAUUUUUCUAAAUAGGUCAAAUUUAUUAGUAGUUUGGGCCGGGCCACUCUUGUGAUUGGGUUGUCCUAACCUGUUACCCAACCCAAACCCAAAUGGGCCAAGCCCAUAUGGCAGGCCUACGCCUACCAUCUCUCAUAUUAGAUUUAUCAUGGUAUCGUUUUCGUCUCCUUCACAUUUCCACCAACUUUUGUCAUCGGAGAGAGUGUGCUAGAAGGUAUUGUUCUAGUCUUCCCUAAGUGCAGACAAUUGAAGUCGUAUUAAAGACACAAAAACCCUUGAUGGUGAUGGUAUUUUUUACUAUCAAAUGAUUCGAAUUAAGGGGGCUUUCGGUAAAAUCUAUUAUUUAUUAUUUAAUAAAUUAAAACAUAUAUUUGAUGUAUACUUUAAUUUAAACUUAUAAUUAAUUUUAAAUGAUAAAAUUGACAUAUUCAUCCUUGUUAAUUUUAAUUAAUAUUAAAUAAUAAUUUUAUUUGUUAAAUAUUCAUGUUUAAAGCAUUAUAGAUGUAUAGAAUAAGAAUAAAAUGUUAACUAGAAAAAAAUGUAUUAUUGAUAUGAAAUUUGGAUAGUGAAAUAUCUCUCAAUAGAUGUGGAUAAAUAAAAUAAAAAAUAGUUAAAAUAAAAAAAUAAUUUUUUUUUUACUUUAAUACUUUUUAAGUUAUUUUUAAAUUUUAAGUUUUUAAUAUUAAAUUAUUUUAUCAAAUAUGUUUAAUUUACUUAUUAACAUAAAUUAAACUACUAAGUCAUUAAGUUGAUCUACUAAAUAUACUCGAAACUCAUAUAUUUUUACAAUUAAGGUAGAUUUUGGGUCAUGUGUAAAUAGAGGUGUCUAAACGGCCCAUUAUUAACCAGGACAUUACGGGCCAACGUGUCAAGCUAGCACUGACCACUUAAAAAUUGUGUCGGGCUAGGUUGGCCCAUGCAAGGAAAGAGGUGGCCCGACACGACCCAUAGGUUUGCGGGCUAAUUGCAUCGGGCUGGGCUGGGUCGGUGACGUGUUCUAAUCAAGAUUUCGUAUAUUCGUCUCAACAUUCAACAGCUGCUUCAAUGUACAAACGACAUUUUCUUUGUUCACUUUCGAUCGAAAAACCAGAGGCUUCUCAGGCUCAUCUGUCUUCUUUACUUCUUUGUCCUCACGAGUCUGAUCAUAUCUCUCUAGACUCGCGACAACACUAUGCAAUUCCUUCAAAAUCAGCAUGCUUCUCCCGCUCCCACCAGACACAUUCUUAGUGCUCUACUUAGUCUUUUCGUCGGAGGCUUUUGUUGGAGAAUCAAGAGGUUUCUCCGACGUUUUGGUAACAUUAGGAUAUGAAUAAUUCUCUAUUUCCUCCAUUUGAGGAAGAUUAUCGAGGUCUACAUGUUCGAGGUCUAGCUCUUUGAGUAAGCACUUCACCAUCGGAAGAAGAUUCAACUUCUUGGCAUCCAAAGUCAAAGUUGAAUCAGAUGAGGUCAGUUUUUUCUCAGGUAUGACAUGCUCUUUUUCCAGUUUUUCCUCCGACGAGACAUGUCUUUCUUUGACAGGCCGACACGACGGGCCGCGUGGGCUGUUUCUUUAGGCCCUGCACGACCCGCUCCUUUUGGGCCGUCUUGGCCCAGCCUGCUACAGUGUCGUGCCAUGCCAUGGGCCAAAAUGGAUGGUUCGGCCCAAUGAACACCUCUAGGUGUAAAGCCUUUAUAAGAAGUAAUAUUUUUUUAAUUUUCAUAUUAUUUUUUUUAAGUUAUAAUAAGAAAUUAUUUUUUUUAUAACAAUAAUGAAGUCUUUAGAAAGAAUAUAUAAUAAAGGAAAAUUAUAAAUAUAAAAUUCCAUGUAAGAAAUUAAUUAUUUUAUUAUUAAAAAUACAAAACAACACAAAAACACCUUUUUACAAAAACACUUUUACCAAACAACAUGUUCAACCCCCACCAAGAAAGGAAAAAUAAAAGAGAGCUCAAAAGAAAAACUUGGGUCGCAGAGAAUAAACGCUAGGAAGUGCGUUUCAUAAAAGCAUAUUUCUGUCUCUUUUUCCCUUUUGUGAAAUCGAAAACAGCGGAAAAGAAAGAAAAAAAUUGGUAAUGGGGUGUGAGGGGGUACAGACAAACGUGCCGCCUUUUUUUGACUUAUGGAGAGCAGGUAACAGGCUUUUCUUUUUUCUUUUUUUCUUUUUUAUUUUUAAUUGAUUUUUCUUUUAUGUACUUUCCAGGAAAAUCAUUCGGGACACCAAAGCUUUCUUUGUGGAAUUUAAAAGAAAUGGAUAUGGGAUUCUUUUGCCUUUUCACCUACACUAGGAAGAAGCCUCCAAAAUUCAUUUAUUUUUCUUGCUCCAACAUACCAUAAUUGCCUUUUGCUUCAUGGACAAGUUUGUAGGUUGACCAUUGUACACUAUGUAUAUAUUAUGCCUCCAAUAAUUAGAACUGGCCAAGAAGAAAAUUAAAAAAUGAUGUAGGAUUUAUUAUCUUGAUCAAGGUUUCACAUGGUGGAUUUGUUUUAAUUAUUUGAUUCGUUGCUCUUAAAUUUUAAAAUUUUUGCGACUUUGACCUUGGUGAUGGAAAUUCACAUUUGUUUAAAUAUCUAUUGGCAACUUGCUUUGAAAAUUCCAAGUAUUGAAAGUGAUUUUAAAGUUAAUAUUGAUAUUGUAAUAAAAUUAAAAGUGCUUUUAAGAAUUAUUAUAAGAAAUGUUUUUAAUAUUUUUAAUACUUGAAUGAGGAAAAUUUUUAAGUGUUAUAAAUAUUAAAAACACUUCUUAAAAUCAUUAUCAAACACACUUUAAUUAAGAUUUUAAUGAGAAAUAAUGGUCUAAUUUAAAAUAAUAUCACGAAUGUUUAAUAUUUUUUAGAAGUGGAUCGAUUGACCAAUCAUAUUACUUAUGUUGUUCGCGCUAUCAAUGAUGAAUGAAUAUAUUUAAAUUUAUUCGUAAAGAUGUAAAAGGGUUUUAAUAAAUAAAGUUUGUAGCUUUUAAAAUCUGUUUGAUAGUAUUUUGAAAAAAUGUUUUUAACUUAAAAAAAAUGUUUUUAAAAAAACUGGUAUUUAUUAAUAAUAUUUAGGAAAUACUUAAAAAAAUGAAAAAAUCACCUAUAAUGACAAACACUCAUGAUUAUCUUAAAAACAUUUUUUUUAAAAACCACUUACUAAAAACAUUUCAAAUAGAAAUAUCGCCAAACCUGUUUUCAUUCUAUUUAUUUCAUGGACUAUAAUUUUUAUUCAAAACCGAAAAUAUUAAGUAAGUCUAAAAAGGAAAAUCAAAUAUUAAGAAAAAUCAACUAAUCUCUUUGUUAUUAAAUUUGUUAACUGUUUUUGAAAUUUUAAGAUUAUGGUGUUUGAGUUAUUACAUGUUGUAGCAAAUUAUAUUAUCAAACUUUCAAUUAAAGGUAUUUUCACUCAAUCAAUUGAGCAAUUUUGGUAUCAAUCUUGGAUUAAGAUCAAAUUUAACCACAAUCGUGGAUCGAUAUAACUUCAACAAGCAAGUAUAUACACAUGUGAGCAUCACUACGCCUACACUAUGUCAUUGUUGUGGGUGGCCUAAGAAGGUGUGCUUCACCACGCCGACACUAGGUCAUUGUUGCGGGUGGCCUAAAAGGGUGUUCUCACUAUUAGUUGAAUUUGGAAUUGAUUUUUGUCUCGAAGUUUAGUUCAAAUAUCACUAGCAAAUAACUUUACGUGCAAGUCGAAAAUCAUUAUUAAUGUAUUGUUUUUAUAUUAUCCUAGACUUUAUAAUUAUUCCUAAAUAAUUAAAAGUAAUAGAGGAAUAUUCUUAUGAAAACUUACAAAUUCAUAUUUGCAGACUUUGAUGAAAGUUGAUUUUAAAUCAUCAUCUAAAAAUGAUAAUAUAAAAAUUUAUGAAAAAAUUUAUAGGCUUUGCCUAAACUUAAUUCCAAAUUACUACGAUUACAAUGAAUCAUAAAAAAUGAUAUUAUGGACAUCGUCAAAACUCUAAUUUAUGAAAGAAUCUCUAUUAUAAAAAAAUCACAUAUUAAUAUCUAUUCAUAUAUAAAAUAAUAUCAAAUUUUGUGAAUCUAGCUUCUCUGCAUGAUAAAUACCGCCAAAGUCUAAUGCUGCGGAGAAAAUUAAGUGAAAUACUCCAAAUACAAAGUAUGAAAAGGUGUCUAUAACUUCCCCAUCAGGACCUAUAACUUCCCUACCAAGACCUACCCCCAAUCUAGAGUAACUAGGUAGGGAAGUAAAAUUAAUCAUUUUUCAUACAUGGGCUUCUUUGGUACGAAAUGAGUCACUUCAAAUAAGUUUAUUGUUCUGACCCAAAAUACGAUUAACCCGACAUGGGCUACAUGAGCCCCAAAUAGUUUACCGAAUAAAUUGAUAAGUUGGGCAUUUUUGACCCAUCAAGUGUUUUUCCUUAAGAGCAACCAGUUUAUAACAUAGAUAUCUUUUAUAAUUUCAAGUAUUCACACGUAAGUUUUAAAAUAACUUAUUAUUUUUAUGAGAAAAAAAAUGAAAGCAUUUUUGUUAAAAUAGGGUUAAAAAAAUUGAUGAAGGGUUAUAUAUAUCUAAAAUUAGAUUUUCAAUAAUUAUUUUAAUCAAAUAAUCCUAAAUUAAUUCCUGACCACACAUGCAUAAAUUUAUUUUUAUCAAAAAUUCUUAUAUCAAUAUGUAUACUUUCUCUCUUUCCUUACUUGGUGUUUUCAUUUUAACCAAAUCUCCCCAGAUUUUAUUCCUUUUAUGCUUCCAUGGACCAUCAACAACCACUUGGACCCUCAAAAUAAUGUUCCAAUCAAAAUAAAAAUAUCGUACCAUGAUUAAAAGUCACAUAUUUAGAUUUCUAACACCGUGCUUAAUUUAGACGUAUGAAACUUAAGAAAAAUAAAAUUUAAAAAUUGUACCAUUGAGAAUAAAUGAAAAAAAUAAAUAAAUCAAGUAAGAUAAAAAAAUAAUUUAAUAAUUAAGGGUCUAAUCGGCAAUUGUUUUCAAAACAAUAUUCUUAAAAAUAGUUUUUGAUAAUAAUUUUUAAAAAUCAUUAUUUAAUUUUUAUAGAAUAAAAGUUGUUUGGAAAUCUAAAAUAUUUUUAAUAUUUUAAAAAAUAUUUUUUAUAUGUUUUAUUUUUUAAUCAUUUUAUAUGUUUGUAUAAUUAUUUAUUAAAAAUCAGAAAAUAAGUGAAAAUAAUAAAAAAUAAUUAAAAGAUAUUAUAUGAAAACAUUAUAUUUUAUAUUCUUAAUAAUAAAAAAUAAAAAAUAAUUUUUGAUUGCCAAAUAUAAUUUUUAUUUUUAAAAAUAAAAAAUUAUUUUAAAAAAUAAUCCCAAAUGGGUCAUAAGAUGCUACGUACAUACUUUUUUUAGUUUUUAGUUUUUAAAACAAAAAAAAAGUAAUAAUUAAGGUAUUUGAUAAAAAAAAUUCAAGGUAUUUCAAAAAUUUUGAUAACAAAAUUUAAGAAUAUAAGGGAAGUUCAUUUAUAGAGAAUUAUUAUAAUUUUAUAUAGAAAUUAUUAAUUUUCUAUUUUUUAAAAAUGUUAUUUAACUAAAUUUAAAUUCAUGAAUAUGGAUGAUAGUUAAAAGAAAAAUAAAAAGGGAAAGAUGAAAAAAAGGAAAGUAAAUCAAUACCUUUCAUAUUUGUACCAUUGCCAUCCAAUUUGAAUGUCCAUAAAUUUCCACCAAGAUUCUUAAAAAAAUUGUACCAUCUCAUAUAAGGAACAAAUGAAAUAAAUAAUAUUAAAUGAUAUUAAAUCAAGUAAAAAAAAAAAGAAGUAAAAUAAUAAUUUUCAUAGUGAAAUUUGAACAUUACCAUGUUUCUUUUUUCAUAAUUUUAAAUUAUAUAAAUAAAAAUUUAAUGAAAUUAGCCAAAACCAAACAAGUUCACUUUUUUAAUUUCAAUUACAUUUUGUAUUUUUAUUUAUUUUUUGGUGGGGGCAGAAUCGAUUUAGAAUAAAGAAAAGCCGCAUUUGGGGAAUUGGGAGUUAUAUCGGCAGCUUUAUGAAGGGCAAAAGAGUAAUUUUGGGAGCGAAGCGUAACAAUGCAGGUGGAAUAGCGCGGUGUGUGAAUGCAGCCCACAUCGUCUCAACUCCACCUCUCUUUCUCUCUCUUCUUUUCUUUGUUUCUCUCUGAUGAAAUCUAAAAAUCUUCGAUUUUGUGCUCUCUCGUCCUCGACUCUGCCAAAGCUAGGGUUUUGGGGUUUCGAUUCUAUGAUAUCGGCAGCGAAAUUGCCAUCGCUGCAGCCGCUAUCGCCGCCGCCGUUUCGUUAAUCUGCCGGCGGGGGCUUUGAUUCCCGCCCGCCCCUCAUGUCUCUCGUAGAAACCUCCUCCAUCGACUGCGUCCACCAACGCCUCGAUCGUCUUUCCUCGAAGCGAAAAUUGGACGAUUAUUCCUCCCCCGCCGAUGACGAUUUCUCUGAUUUAGUCUCCUUCAGAAUGAGAAAAUUCGAUCAAAACGCCUUCGUUUCUUGCAACUCUCCGCCGGACUCUCAUCUCGAGAGGCAUAGGGUUGUCGAUGCCCGAUCGUGUCCCAGUUCGUGCAGCGCCGAGUCGGCUCGGCCUGAUUCGCGGUUGCAGUUCUUCGUGAGGAUGAUCUCCGAGGGGAAUACUCUGGUGAUUCACGCGAAUUCGGAUGAUACCGUGGAGUCGCUGCACCACCGGAUUCAGUCGAUUACGGGGAUUCCGGUGAUGGAGCAGCGGCUGAUAUACAGAGGGAAGCAGCUGCAGUGGGAGCAGUCUUUGGCUGAAUGUUCGAUUCAAAACGACGCCGGGCUUCAACUUGUCGGUCGGAUGCGGAGUACGGAACAUCCGGCGGCAUGGCGAGUCGCUAGCGAGAUGGUGUCAACGAUUUGUCGGCUUUGUAGGGGGGAAACAUUCCGGCCGUUGAAGAACAUCAAAUCGCAGUUGUUGGAGUUCUUGAUGCUCACUCCAAAAGACGACACCGAGUCAGCGGCCGGUUAUCUUCAGGUUUUCAUGUCUUCGUCGGCCCCUUCAGCUUUGGUCAUGCUCUACAUGUCCCCGACUAAGAGUAACAAGGAGACUGCAGAUGAUACUAUUAGGCAAUUUCUUAACUCGAGUCGGAAUUUAUUACCAAAGUCUGUACAAAUACAAUGUGUUCCUAUAGUGUUAGAAUUUUGUAAGUUGCUUAGUAGAACUGAUCAUGAGGAUCCGUUGUAUUUGACAUGCCGAAGCACUCUUGGGUCGCUGGUGGAAAAUGUUGGGGUAGUGAGAGCUUCGAGGUAUUGUCAUAAUAGUAAGACAUUGAUUGUAGUUAAAGAGAUUUUACCAUUUGUUAGUGAGCUGGCUAGUAGCUUGUCAAAGUCAUUGAUAUCAAGCAUGGAAUCAGCAGGGAGCACAGGGAACUCACUAAAUGAUGGGCGCAAUUUGAUUGCAGGGCAUACAUUAGCAAAUGAUGUGCGUGAUUUUACUGCAUUCUUGCACCCGGUGCGAUCUGUGAUUAUGGAGCAAGUGAGUUUUCAUGGUCCUAUUUCAAUUCCACUUGGAGAACGUGGUAGUACUAAUCCCUGGUAUGGAGAAGAGAUUGAGUUUCUUCAUGGCAUUUUCAUCGAUUUGAUGACAAAAAUGGAUGGGUGUCUCCAUAAAAUGGAGCAAUGCUUGGCAGGGGAAGGUGGAGUUGAUCAUCAUACUGUAUGGCCCCAGUAUCUUGCCGUUCUGAAGGAAUUGAAUAGCAUUUCUAAAUUAUAUCAUGGUGCUGAGGAAGAGUUUUGGACAUUUAUGAGACGUAGGAAGAUUGCAGUGUGCUCUCUAAUGAUUAGAUAUGCAAAGAGAAGUGAUGACCAUAGUUGGCUUCUUGAGCACAAGGAUGUGACUGAUUUUGAAUCAAGGAGGCAUUUGGCAAUGAUGAUGUUCCCUGAAGUAAAGGAAGACUAUGAAGAACUACAUGAAAUGCUCAUUGACAGGUCACAAUUAUUGGCAGAGUCAUUCGAGUACAUUGCACGGGCAGAGCGUGAAUCUCUACAUGGUGGUCUGUUCAUGGAAUUCAAAAAUGAGGAAGCUACAGGACCUGGUGUGUUGAGAGAGUGGUUCUUCUUGGUAUGCCAAGAAAUUUUCAAUCCACAAAAUGCCCUUUUUGUAGCAUGCCCAAAUGAUCGCAGAAGGUUCUUUCCUAAUCCUGGUAAGCUUCCUCCAUCUCUCUAGACACGUUUUUCUUGAAACAUUUCUUUUGAUUGCUGUUUUCUCCAUGUAAAAUGUCUAAAAUUGGAAGUGUCUGUUAUCUUGAUUGAUAAAUGGAUUGUUGACUUUGUUAUAUUGUGAUGGAUGGUGCUAGUGUGUAACAUGGCUAUAGAUUCUGAGGUUUGUAUAUGCUUGUUCCAUUUAACCUACAACAAGGUUCUUCUUGACAAUUGGUGUUGGAGAUUAGUGACUUUGAGUGAAUCUCUUUGGAAACAAGUUAUCACUCUUAAAUUCAAGCAAGAAGGGAUCAAGGGGUGUGAGAUGGUUUUGGGAUGAGUGUGUGGAAGAUAUUCAGAAAUGAGUGGGACUCCCUUAAGGAUAGAGUUCAUUUCUCUAUUGGCAAUGGAAGAAGGAUCAAAUUUUGGAAAGAUAGAUGAAGUGGUAACUCAUCUUUGGAAUAAUCUUUCCUGUCUUUGUUCUCUUUAGCCUCAAACAUAGAUGCUUGGGUGGUGGAUAUGUGGGAGUAGCAUGGGGAAAGUGAUUGAUUAAGCCCUUGCUUUCCUAAGCAGUUUCAUGAUUGGAGCUUGAAGGAGUGACUUACUUUUUCCUAAAACUGCAAGUAGGAGAGAGGAGGAUGGCAGUUUAGAGUGGAAGGAUUCCAAGGGUGUCGAUUUCUCUAUCAAAGCUUUUAACUUUCACUAGUCCAACAAAGUAGUGAGUCUUUCCCCAUUAAUUGGGUAUGGAAUCUCCGGGUCCUUGUGAAGGUAGGGUUCUUUAUAUUUUUUUUUUUGCUUCGAAGCAUUGUGGGUUAGAAUUUUGACAAUUGAUCAACUUAAAAGAAGGGGAUGAAGUAUGCCGAACAGAUGUUACAUGUGUAAAAAGUAGGAGGAAACAACUAAUCAUGUGCUCUUCCACUGCCCUACAAUAAUUAUCUGUGACAACUGAUUUUCUCUUUGUUUGGUGUAGUUUGGGUGAUGCAUUCAAUAGUUAGAUGAACUUUGUUAAACUAGCAUGGUUCGUUUGUGGGUAAUAAACUGAAAAAGCUUGGAUACCUAUUCUAGACGCCAUGGAAGGAAAGAAACAAAAGGGUAUUUGAAGAUUUAGAGCAAACAUAAUAAAUGCUUAAACUUUCUUUUAUAAAUAUUUUUUGGAUAGAUUUUAUAUAGAUGAAUUUUCCGUGACCAUGAUAGACUUUGUAGAUUGGAUUAGUUAGAAAGGGUGAGGGAGUUUGUUUUUUGUUCCUUUCCUCUUCCUUCCAUUUGCCUGUUUUUGAGUGACAUUUAUAUGCUUUGUGUGUACUUUGCGAUGCAUGUGUUUAGGCACUUUUCUUACUCUUAUAUAUAUAUAUAUAUAUUUGAUAGAUAAAAAGGAAGAUAUAUUGGAAAGGACUGCCAAAAAAGCAGCCCAAGGUAUACAAAAAGUUUAUAGCUACCACUAGCCUCCACCACAAAAACACCAAGAUACAAAAUAAAAGGAAUACAACCAGCCCGCCCUCACCAAUGGCCCAACCAAUUUAGAAAGCUAAAAAGAGUUAAAGGAACAUCAUCUAAGUAUCCCUUCGCUUCCAACCAAAGAUAAAAAGCAAACGAACUUUUUAGCCUUUGGAUAGAGAGCUCUUCCUCCUCAAAGGCAAUUCUAUUUCUUGUCUUCCACACUAUCCAAAACAAACAUAAAGGUCCGACUUUCCACAAUUUCUUAUGCUUCUAGUCCUCAAAUAGCCCAUGUCACCCUAGAAGAGUUUCUCUAACUAACGUAGGUAACACCCAAGACACCCUAAAAUGGGCAGACAACAGCUCCCACAAGACUCUUGUCUUUAUACAAUGGACAAGGAGAUGGUCUAUGGAUUCUUCGUUAGCAUGAUAGAAAAAACAUCUAUUUGCCAAAGACCACCCCCCUUUUCUGGACUUGAUCCAAAGUUAAGGCUUUUCCCCAAGUCACCUCCCAAGCGAAGAAGCUAACUCUAGGAUGCACCCACGCCUUCCAUAUAUUGCUCCAAGGAAAAGAAAUCGAAGUCCCAGGUUCAAAGGCCAUAUAAAGCGACUUCAUAGUAAACUUCUCAUUCUUAGUCUUUGUUCAACACAUCCUAUCUUCCUCGUCUCUAUUCACCGUCAUCCCAUCUAAGCAAGAAAGAAACCUCUCCUCACUUUCCACUUCCCAAUCAUUGAGGGGUCUAGAGAAAGACGGGCUCCAACCCCUUCCCCAGGGAUAGAAAAAUCCCAAACAUCCUCCACCCAUGCAUCCUUAGAACAUGCUAAGGAAAAUAAAGAUGGAAAAGAGUCUCGCAACGGAUCAAUCCCACACCACUUGUCCUUCCAAAAUCUGACCCUUUGUCCAUUACCUACCUCGAAGGAGAUUUUACUACUCACAAGCCCCCACUACUUCCUUAUAGCUUUCCAAACACCUACACCAAACCCUUCCCUAAACUCCCUAGAACACCACCCCCUUCUUACUCUUAGAUUAUAUAUAUAUAUUUCCAUAUUACCUAUAAAAAAAACCUGCAACAUACAAGUAGGUUAUGUUUGAUUUUUAGAAUUUUGAGGGGUAGGAUUAGGGAAGGGGAAAAACAAAAGGAAAGGAAGGAAAAUGAAAUUCAAGUUGAAUCCCCAAACAAAUCUUCCUUCCUCAACUCAGACCCCAACUUUCCUUGCUUGUUUAAAGAGGAAAUUGGGAGCUUCAAAAUGUAUAAUUUCCCCCCUAUUUCAUUUGUAGUUCCUUUUGCUUCCUAUUUUCCAUCACAACCAAACAAGAGAAAUCGAUUUUCCUUCUAAGUGUUUGCCCUUUUCUCUUGUUGCUUUUGAGCUCUUAACGGAGCCAUAAGCUUGCUACAACAAUUCUGAAGGUGUAUUGAGAUAACCUUGCAAAAUAGAAGAAUAUGGUGGAAGCUUGCAUUGAAGGUCUUGGAUCAAAGCUAGCUUCCAAAGUAGGAAGUCUUUUAGGGCAUUGAAUAUGGACAAAAAUUGAAAAUCGUCAUCCUUUGAAGAUAGUGGUAUGGAUAAAUAGGGAAGUUUUUUUUUUUUUUAAUGAGCAAAAUGUAAAUAUUUUAAAAGAGGCUAGCAAACAGGUGCAUUAAAUUACACACAAUGUAUAGAAAGGCAUCAAAAGGUCAACAAAAAGAAAAAAGAAACAAAAAACAACCUUUUCCUGCUAGAGCUCAACUAAUCAACAUAGUCUAUCACUAACAUUGAGAACUCUCCUAUACACACUCUAACCCACUCCAAAAACUUAUAUAUAAGGGACAAUUUUAUUCCUUGAUCCUUUAAUUCAGUAUUUUGAAACGACCUUUUAUUUCUUUCUUUCCAUAUAUUUUAAAAUAAGCACAAAGAAGUAGCUCUCCAAGCUCUUUUUCGCUUUUUUCAAUGAAGGAACUAUGCAAACUCAAGAAAGCUCAUCUUUUUAAAGAGUGUCUCAUAAUAUACCAAACAAAAUAUAAAUCAAUUGACAUAAGAGUAUUGCUUUCAAGCAGUGAAGGAGAAUAUGAUCAAUUGUUUCUUCUCCUUUGCAUAUAUAAUAAACUGUUCAACAAUUUCCAUUUCCUUCUUUUGAGUCAAUCUAAUGACAAAAUCCUCACCUAAGCUGUUUCCAAUUCACAAAGAAGCCAAUUCAGAUUGUUCUUGCAGGAAAGACUCCUUUUCCCAUAGACAAAGAGGAGUAGGACUUAAUUGAGAAUUUACUUUUUUUAAUUUUUUUUAUUAGUAAAUGAGAUUUGUAUUAAAAACGCCAAAAAGGGCAGACCAAAGUACACACGAUGUAUACAAUGGCAACCAAAAAGCGCCAAAAAAAGGAAGAGAAAACAAAAAGAUAUCCCCUCCCUCAAACCGACCCCAACCAAUCAAUGAAAUCUACUAUAGGCAACCAUCUUUCACCUAUAAAUAGUUUGGUCCAAGUUAACAAGUUACACAAAAACAAGUAUUUCAGUCCUUGGAUUGAGAAAAAUCUUCUAUUUCUCUCUUUCCAAAUAGUCCAAAAGAGGCAUAAAUGAGCUGCCCUCCAAACCUUUUUCCGCUUUUUUUUCCAACAAAGGAACCAUGCCAGCCUAGCAGAGUCUCUCUAAUUGUAGACUACAUCACCUAAAAAACUCUAAAGAGAGAGAAUAAUAGCUCCCACAAUACCCUUACCUUGUCACAAUGUAAAAGGAUGUGGACAAUAGACUCCUCAUGAGACAAACAUAGGAAACAACGAUUGGCCAAAAACCACCCCCUCCUUUAAAGCUGGUCAAGAGUCAAAACUUUUCCCCAAGUCGUCUCCCAAGCAAAAAAGUACACCUUAGAAGGAACCCAUGCAUUCCACACAACACUAGAAGGGAAUUGCACUACCCUUCUUGUCUCUAGGCUAGCAUAACUGAUUUACCACACUUCUGUUUUAACCAAACCAUUCUAUCCUCCUCAUUCUUUUAAAGCGCUUACACCCAUAGUCUCCCAUGCCUCCACCCUAUCAAGCUCCUACUCAUGGUUCCUCUUGAAAAGCAGCCCUACC